rnacentral:lncRNA from 1 species
UGAGCUCAAACCGCUUGCUUGGGUUUUGUUCGUACUGACUGCUAUGCUUCAACCUGAAUCAGUGAGGUCAGAUGGCUUCUGAGGUGAGAUGUGCCAUGGACAUGAAGUAUCAGAUCUUCUUGGUGUCUUCAAGCAACUGACAGCGUUCUUUAGCAGGCUUUGUGCUUAGUGACUUGUGGCCCAUCAUAGAAUUCUUUUCACAGGAUUAGCACUCCGACCAGAUUGAUCAUGAAAGCAAAUCUAACCUGCCUCCAUCGUAAGGUUUGGCCUGUUGGCUUUAUUGGCUACACACUUACACCUGUUUCACCUUUGGAACCUCUGUAUGUAAAAUAUUCCAGAUUGAUACAUUGUAAACAAUGCUCAGUGUGUUGGAUUUACAAUAAGAUCAUAAGAAUCUAUCAUUUUUCUCUGUCUGCUCCUAUAGUGCUCUUUUCUUUUGAUCUUUGCAUUUUGUUUGCAAGAAAUGAAAGUGGCGAAGGGGAAGGAUGCCUUUAGCUUUUCUUCAGGAAAUCAUGGACAGUAAUACAACUUGAAAGGUAAAUAUAUUCAAGAGUCAUUUACCUCAAGACAUGUAUUGCUGAUUAAAAAUUGAUGAAUACAUGUUCUGAAAGAUCAUACCCAAGGGCUCUGUUUUAUUAUUCAUAAAGAAACACCGUUUUAAAUCUUAAACAUGUUCGUAGCAUUAAGAACUCCCAAUUCUGAAAAAGGUGAAAAAAAAGAGAAUGAUAGAGAAUGAAGAAAAGUGCCGAAAAAAGAGAAUGAUAGAGAACGAAGAGAAGUGCAAAACCUGACUUAAAUGAGGACCCGGCCUGGAUGGGUGUAUUCUCUUUUCCACCUUGACGAUGUAUACAAGUCAGUGUUAGUAUCUACUCCCUCCGUCCGGAAAUACUUGUCAUCAAAAUGGAUAAAAGGGGAUGUAUCUGGAUGUAUUUUAGUUCUAGAUACACCUCUUUUUAUCCAUUUUGAUGACAAGUAUUUUCGGACGAAGGGAGUAACAGACAUUGUAUUAUUCACCAAGAAUUCCUUUAUCUGAGCUGUCCUUCCAUGCCUGUGCGUCAUACGUAAUCGAUUUAGGAUACGAGUAAAGAAUGCUAUGUUUCUUUAGUCACUCUUUGCGUUGUUUUCUAUUUUAUAUUUAUCGUGCCAUUUUGGCACGCAUGUAUUUGCCGAGCAAAUUGAGAACAUGGAAGGAGCACUUGGAUUUCAUUUCUAUCCUGUAGUUAGUCUACAAUGCCGUUUUACGAAGCUGGUUACUUGCCCAUGACAAGAUCGAAGAUCAGGGAUAUUUUUUCUUGAGCAAUGUGGUUUGCUUGUUAAGUUUUGCCCCCAUGUCUUCUUUGUGUGUAAAUUUGCUGUUCUGUGCUAUUGGUAGCCAAAGAUGCACUCCAUCGCUAUGUUGUUUGCAUUUGGUGAUAACUACUUUUACAUUCUGCUCAAGUACUAGAGAGUUGGUUGAACUUACUACAACUGUUCUAUCUGUGACACGUCUGCAGCUUAAGCUGUGGCUGCUUCAAGAGGAAGCUUGAUGGCCGCCAGCUUGUUGUACCUAAGUGACUAAAUUUUGUGGGAGGUCUUGAAGUGUGUUCAUCUGUUACUUGAGUGAGCCAUAGUGGUCACUGGUCAGUUUACUAUCCUUCCUUGUUUAUUAAUGCACCAUAUUCAUCUAACUGUUUUUUGCGGAUGGUCAUCUGUUAUUUGUUUGCAUGGAGUAUGUUUUUUGUUGAACUUUCAUUUCUGCCUUCCCCAUACGGCCGACACUUUGUUUUCUAUUCGAAAUGCCUCCUUGACUGAUGUAAAUGCCACUACAUUGGCAUUGUUUACGCGCCUCCACGAACUAGAGGCUAUUUAGAUUUAGUGAAGGAGGUCAAAAUUAGGCUGAAAUACUAGUGUUGCAUGCUCUCUGUUCCCCAGUUUGGUUAGGUAGCCUGGUUGUUUUGAUGGGCCACAUUUGGAACAAACGUUUGGCAUGCUCUUUGGGGAUGCAUAACUGCUUAUGGUUCUUGAUGUUCUUGUAGUAGUGUUGUUCUUGUCAUGGGUUUAUAUGAGCUGCCUUUGCUACUACAAAUGUUUAAUUGCUACUUGCCACUUCAUUCUGUGUGACGUUGGUGGUUCGGAGUUUUGCUUUGAAUGUGAUGGUCAAUUUCUUGCCCAUUUGUUUGCCCCUUAUUUUAGUUUCAGCUGUCUUGUGGAAGAUACAUCAGCCCAUCAGCAAACCUGAUUAUGGCUUUCCGACAUAAACAUUUGCGUAGUUACAGUGGUGUCCGGAUGCAAUCGGCGCACAGAGUAGAAAGAUAGAAACUAUGGUCUAUUCCCUUUGUUCACAAAUGUAAGAUGUUUUAGAUAUUUCAAUAUGGACUACAUACGGAUUGAAAUGAAUGAACAAACACACUAAAAUGUGCCUAUAUGCAUUCAAAUCAGAAAAUAGUUAGAAAAUCGGGACUUGAAUUACGGACGGAGGGAGUACAUUAUAACCUAUGUUGAUAACUGAGGCUCGUAGAGUGGGGUUUUUGUUGGUGGGUACACAUGCAAACGUUUUAUUUGUUUGAUUUGUCAAAGUUUUGGAGUCUUUCUUCUUUGCGUGGACCUCACGAAUGCCGUUCCAUCAUGAAUAAUUUGUUAGAUAAAAACAAAGCAACAUUUGUUGCCAAUUUUUAAGAAGUUACUGUUUUUUCUAUUUUUUUCGGAUUUUACUGCUUAUCCAAGGUGCAUGUGUGCCCGGGAUCAUAAUUGCACUUUAAGGGCUCGUCACCUUACGGAAGAGCAAGACGCUUUUGGAUGCUAUAUACCUCUUGUAACGAGCAGCCUGAUAUCGCUCGCUCGCUGGACGUGAACUGCCAUAGUGCCAUUCAGUGUCUUUGUUGCACUCCCGCUGAGCUCGUCAUGUACUUCCUCCGUUCCUAAAUAUGAGUCUUUCUGGAGAUUUUGAUGUGAACUACAUACGGAUGUAUAUAGAUAUAGUUUAAAGUGUAGAUUCACUCAUUUUGCUUCGUAUGUAGUCGACAUUGAAAUACCCCGAAAGACUUGUACUCCCUCUGUUCCACAAUUCUUGUCUUAGAUUUGUCUAAAUACAGAUAUAUCAAGUCACAUUUUAGUACUCCUUCCGUCCGGAAAUACUUGUCAUCAAAAUAAAUAAAAGAAGAUGUGUCAUCAAAAUAAAUAAAAGAAGAUGUAUCUAGAUGUAUUUUAGUUCUAGAUACAUCUUUUUUGUCCAUUUAGAUGACAAGUAUUUUCGGGCGGAGGGAGUAUUAGGUACAACCGUAUCUAGAUAAAUCUAAGACAAAUUUUUUUGGACGGAGGGAGUAUUUAGGAAUGGAGGUACUAGUAGUUUUACGGGACCAUCGGUUCGAGUCGUCUGGAUUGCCAUAGUUGAGUAAUCUUGUUGCUCAUCCAUUGGCGUGGGCUUGUGUAGACUCCAUCAUUUGCAGGUCAAUGUGGAGGGUCUGGAUGACAAAGCAAGGAGCACGCGCAACUCGAGAGGCAAUUCGGUCUGGAUGACUGAAGCAAUACUACUCUCCGCUGCAGCGCACACUCUAUGUGAUUAUUACGUGUAAAAGUUCGUUAAUUAGUUAGAAUCAAAUACUUCCAUGAGUGCAUAUAUGUUGCUGAAAGAACGUUUCACGGUGAGGGCAUCUUUGAUAGAUGAUGUAUAUGCAAGAAUAACUAACAGUUGCAUCUCUAGGGCCCAAAAACCCACCUCCAACGGAUGAUUUAGAUGAAAAAAAAAUACAUCUUCGCCUCCCUGAGAUGAAAAAUACAACAUCUUGUGAUGCAAAAGGCCCCAAAACCCACCUCCAACAGAAGAUUUAGAUGAAACGAAAUAAAUCUUCGCCUCCCUGAGAUGAAAAAUACAACACCUUACAAUGCAAAUUUGCAGCUUCACUUUCAGAAGAUGAGAAAACGGUGGUUGCGUGCCAACCUUCAAUUGCCCUUCACUUCCUUUCCCUUCUUUCUCUCUUUGCCCAUUGCACAGCUGUUGCCGCCCCGACUCACCCGCAUCAUUGCCGUUGCUGCAUGCCUGUGCCACCUCCGUCUGUCAACCACCCCUACCGCCUUGAUUCGCCGUCGUCGCUGCCUCGUUUUCGCCGUCGCCGCAGCCACCAUCGGACCAGCCAAGCACUUGCCCAUCCAUUGCCGCUCCGCCCGCAUGCUGCGAAUCUAACGUAUUUUUCGCCGCUCAACCGCUGCCGCCGGUUCGCCCCUGCCGUCGCCGCUGCCACAACCUGACCGCUAAGCACCCGCCCAGCCACCACGGCUCCACCCUCACGCUGCGAAUCGAUCGUAUUUUGCGCUGCUCCACUGUCGCCGGCCGGUUCAUCCCCGUUUUCGUUUCCACCGUCGCCGCUGCUUAUCUGCCACCGCCCAGCCCUUACACCCACCCCAGCUUUUGCCCUGUGGCCGCCGCCCAGAUUCGAACGCCGCGUUCCGGCCGCCGCCGCUCAGCUGCCCCAUUUCUAAUCUUUACAUCUCCACUUGCAUCAUCUAUUGAAGUUGUGUUUUUACAUCACUAACUAAUUCACGUCAUCCGUUGGAACUGUCUAUUUUAGAUGUAAAAUGCAUCUUUUGAAGACGUAAAUUUUUAGAUCUCCUAAUUUACAUCUUCUAUGCUCUGAGACGGUAGGAUGUGGUCUUCUCACGAACCUUCUCACAUCACAGUUCGCCCGGCGGUGCACGCUCCCGGAAACAACUAUGUUUCUCGCCGACAGGACUCACUGCUGCCGGUGGACGUGGUUGUGACGUGUGACGUCCACGUGGUAACCAGCCAAAGGCCCUCGCUGGAACAUAUGGGCCCGGCAGUUAACAGACACCGAGACCGUACAAGCACUUCGCCGCCUAUAUGUGGCCGGCAAGUGGCCCGGAACACUACCUGGCCUGCACCGAUGAGGCGACCACCGCCCGAGCUCUCUCCCGCCGUCUCUAGUAAAUCCUGUCCGUCUCGGGUUCAGGUCCCGUCGCUCAUCCGAAGUUCGUAGUCAUCCGUCAAAGCAAAAUUACCGCAGAGGGCUCCCCGGUGCGACCCACCGAGUGCUGUUCAGAUGCGAUUGUACAUUCAAUCUUCCGCUGGAAAUCAUCCGUGUAUCAGCUAAAGCAAAGAAAAAAAAAGUUCAAUUUAUUAACGUGGUUCGGAGUACACAUUUCUUCUUUUGUUGAAAGAAAAAGAAAGAGAUUUAUUGCAUCUCUCAGUCUAUGCAUCCAGAUGCGGCCGGCCAAAUUUGUUGCAACUGGUUGCUAGUGUAGUACUCCUUCCAGUUCAAAAUAUUUGUCUUUUUAGAGAUUUUAAAUGGAGUACCACAUACAGAUGUAUAUAAACAUAUUUUAUAACGUAGAUUCAUUCAUUUUGCUUCUGUAUAUAGUCAUUUGUUGAGAUCUCUUAAAAGAUAAAUAUUUAGGAACGGUGAGAAUAGUAUACACUUUUUUUAUGGAUAGUGUAGUACAUAUUGAGAUGUACAAAUACAUCAAUGCAACACAGACCUACUCAAAAGCGAUGGUCAUCUAACCAGUAAAGGCCAACUCGAAAUCUGCUAGAAAACCACUGAAUUUAUUAACGUCUGGGUUUUCUGAAGUUUUAGGAAACAUUUUUCAGGAACCAAGGUUUUUUUUCUUUCGAAUUUGUCAACAUCGAUGUUUUUGGAUGCCUCUUUUUUUCUAAACCAGUUGAGAAAAUUUUGUUUAAAAAAAUGAGGCAUUCAUUGCCCACAUAUGUUAGAAUACCAUUCUCACAAUAAAAGAAUGUUACAGUACUGAGCUUUUUAAUAUAAAAAAUACUAAGGUCUUAGAUCACUGCAUUUUAAAAACUAUGCUGCCAAACUUGGGCCAAGAUUUUUUUUCUCUCUCUGAUAUGCAAUCCAACAUAAGUAAUUUUUCAUUUUUAGGAACCUCGUCCAUCAUAAGAAUAAAAUAUUUUAUUUGGCAAUAAUUUUUUUAAGAGGCUAAGUAUAGGGUUUUAAUACUUUUAUAGGGAAAUAAAUUAAAAUUCUCAAACCUUUCCCCUUCUUUUUUUUGGCAAAAGGGAUGCGCUCAUGAUCCCCCUUUUCUGUCUCUAGCUCUUGCGGCAGGAGGUUGGGGACCCCGGAUCUUUGUUUACAAAUUGCGUUCCCAACAACGACUCUAAGGCACUGGCGACACUACCAAUGGAUUAAGUGAUGACGCCACUAGUGGAUUAAGUUUACCCGAACUCCACCUCGACGGUGACUCUGAGGUGGCGACUAUAAUGCUGGGGAAUAAGGUUUCCUCGAUUCCGUUCGUUGGUGACAACAUCCUCAACGACGAUGGCAGCGAGAGUCCAUGAGGAUGGUUUGUCUCUACUCUUCUUGGGUCAUGUAUCUAGCUAGUAUGAGUGCUAGUGAUUUGACAUCCAUCAGCGGUGCCACCAACAUCAUAUUCUUUUCUCUUGGCUCCGGCCCCGUUGCACCAGCGUUCUCUUCGUCCGUCAUUGUGAAGCCAACGGAGGUCUUGUUCAGGAGGUGCAAGGUGUGUCGGCUCGGUAGGCAUCGACGGUGAUCGUUGUAUGCCAGAGUUGUUGCUUCUUCUUUAGGGUGUUGGUUCUCUGCUCGAAGCCUCGACGACUUCCCUGACUAUAUAGAAGGUGUGGCUUGCUUUGGCAGCGAAGCGGCGGUGACGAUGGUGCACCAUCGGUCACCCCGGAUCCCAGAGGCAGAAGGCGCGGUGAACACCAAAAACUUGGUUGUAAUUUCCUUUUUUUUCUUCGAGGUGUAAUGUAAUUUUCGGACAUGUUUUUUUAAACUUAAUUUCCGGACAUGUUUGAUAUAGAGCUUUGAUGCUCUUUUAGCAAAACAAACAAAAAAAUGUAAAUAAAUUAAAAUGACCUAAGGAGCGCAACGGUCUAUAAUCAUCUGAUCUGAUGCCAGGUCUAUCUAUAAUCCCGUCGAUGUUUGUUUCCAAAAAAAUGCACACAUAAUCGUUUUUCCAUUAACUUUUUUCACACCGCAAGCCACAACGGCUCCAGAGCUCUCCGCCGCGGUACAAAAUCCAAAAACUUACCGUUGCAAAGAAGAAGAUCGAACGGGGCAUUAAAACCGUUCCGUUUUCCGUGCCCCGAUAAGACGGCAACUGAUUAAACACGAAAUUCAAAAGGAGCAAGAAAAUAGGCAACCUCCCAAAACGAAAGCCUCCCAUCCCAACGUCUCACAUCAUAAGACAGCAGGGGCGCUCCCGUCUUUUCCCCUCGCCAGGCGUUCCCCCUCCGGUCUCCUCCUUCUGCUCCACUCCCCCUGCGCCUGGGGUUUCCUCCUUCCACUAGAAGCCAGCCUCCCCUUCUUCUACCCCACACUGCUCCCUCCUCCGCCUCCCCACCCGGCUCCGGCUCCGACUCCCGCCCCCGCCCCCGCCCCCAGAGGAUCGCCGCAGUCUCGCAAGAGGACCGCCGACGGAGGGCAUUGGCCGGCGCCGCGGCGCUUCUGGUCGGUUCUUGCCUCUGCCUCCCCCAUCUGCUCUCUGAUUUCGCCGCUGCGCGGUUCUUUCUCCCCCGUUUCUUGGCUCGAUUUGCCUCGCGCCCGGCGCCUCAUUGCGGAAUUUGGUUUGGUUCGGUUUCGCAGUGUGAUUUAGGGCUGCUGCCUGCCUGCCUGUGUCCGGUGGCUGCUCGUGCUCUCGGCGCCGGCGCGAUGUUCUACUCCAAGACGAUGCUGUCCAAGAAGGGCCCGCUGGGCGCGGUGUGGGUGGCGGGCGUCCGCGGCGUCGCCGCGCUCACCAGGGACCAGGUCCUGCGCACCGACGUCGCCUCCUCCGUCGGUAAGCGAUAUCACGCCUAGUUUGCCUCCGCAUAACCCGCCUCCUGCAAUGCGACAAAAGCUCCCUCUUUUUUCUGUGGGUUUGUGGGUUUUUUGGGUUUGGUUGGGGCCUCGGUGAGGAGAAAUCUCACCAAUUUGUGGGGAAAAAGAAGUCUUCUUUUCUGGCGGUCUCAUGUUCUUUCCUGGCUUGGUUAAGGGCUUGGAGGAGAUACGGGUUUCUAAUCUGGGGUGAGUGGAACAGUAGAUUGGGAGGGUUUAUGUGGGGGUUUAUAUCUUGCACUGUGAAUGAAGGAUGAGAGGAGAAUCUUUGGUUCUUCACCCCAAAAAGAAGACCAAGAGAGAACCACUCUUUUCUCUCGUGACUUCGGUUCCCCUUAAUAGGUUGUGGUUGGUGGAGUGGUGAUUCAACCUUUUCUUCUCGAUUUUAGGAAGCAUCGAUGUGCACAUCUAUCUUUUUUUUUUUAUCUUCUUGUGGAGUGUAAGCAUCACUGUUCGCAAAUUUCGUUUCACAUUUUCUUCCGGGGAAACGAACAUAUUGCAGUUUUUUUUUAAAGAUUAGAAGAUGAAUGUUAGGAUGUUGAUAAAAAGCUUAACCUGACUAUGGGAUGUUUUGGCCAACGGAAGGUUAUGGAUCUUUGUGGAUGGUUUGGGGUUCACGGCUCUUGGCCGGUGAGAACUUUUGGCAUAUGAUUUUUUUUUUAAUCUAUACGUUAUCCAGGCGUGAACCUGAACUGAGUUUCAGGUUCAGGUACCAACUGAAUAUACCAUGUGAACCAACUUUACUGUCGACAAAAACUACAUAAUGAUAUUUAAUUCACUGGGAAACUGCUUGAAUAUCGUUAAAUAUUGCGCCUUUCUGUUGACAGACAUAGCCCUUCAAGUAUUUUCUUUCUUUCUGAUAGUAUUGUGAUGACUAGCUCACACAUUUCCUGUUCAUGGCAGACAAGAUUUUGCCCGACGUUGAAACCACAUACAGAAUACUUGGGCUGCUUCUGCUUGGCGUUGUUAGGAUUUACUCCAAGAAGGUGGAAUACCUCUGCUAUGACAGCAAUCAGUUUUUUGAAUCAACUGUAAGAGGGAAGAAAGUUCUAAAGCGAGGGAAGAAAGGUGCUUGUGCAAGAAGAUUGGUGCUAGACCAAGAAGACACUAGAAGAGCGAAAAGAGUUGCUGUAGUUCAAGUCCCAGGAUUGGACGAACCAGCUGACCUUCCACCAAUCUUCACCGUACCCAAAAGAUUUGAGCUCGACUCUUUUGAUUUGCAGAUACCUGAAGACAGGUAAUGAACAAGCAUGGCCGUAAACUAGUUUCAUUUCUUUGUUACUUCAAGUGUGGUGUCUCAUUUGUUCCUUCUAAAUUCCUCUGCAGAGAGGAUGACAAUGAUGAUCAUCACCAAUUGCCUCGUCAAGGUAGCAAAUGCUGCAACUUGAUGUUGCUGUUAUUGCUAAGGAAUCAUUUAUGACCUUCAAUUAUUUUGUGCAGAUACUUUGCUGGAAGAUGAACAUCAGCGUAUGCCAAAUUUUUACGAGGUACCCAGCUUCCUUCCUACCAUUCACUGAAUAAUCAAGACAUGUAUGCGCAUAGAGUGAAAUGCUUCUUAUAACAUCUGAAACAAAGAAAUUGGGGAGCUUGCCAAAAAAUAUGCUAUGUAGUCUAGGCAGCAGUUUCCUACUGCACGCGCCUACCACCUAAUGUGAUCUAUAAAUGCGAUACUUCCCAGGCAGACAGAAUUACUAAGCUUGCAUGCAUCAGGCAGCAGUUUAAGUGACCUGUACCUUCCACCAAUUGAUCCUGUUCUACCACCGAUGGGGACCACAGUAGGUUCCACGUGUUACCUUACCUGAUUACCAUGGUCCUGUAUCAGUAGUUUCAUGAAUUUUCCGAUUAAGGUGUUAAGUAUCCAUUUUGUUUGUGGUUUGUAAAUUAUUCCACCCACGUGUGUUGCCUUAGAUACGUUUGUUCCUUUGCAUUAGCAAUAGGUGACAUGCAAUACUGUCAGCUUCCUCUUGUUUUCAUGCCUUAUUUGUCUUGAGAAACUAAAACUUAAGAUUUAUCUAAUGGAACAGUCUUAUCAGGGGAUGCCAUAUGCUGAUCUGGACUCUGCUUACGUUGUGCCAGUAUGCAUGUAAGUACAUAGGCUACGUUACCUAAUGGUGUUAAAAGAUUACUUCCAGUGGAUUUCUGAGCUGAUCUCUUGAUGCAGCAUCCCAGCUGAAAUGAUCAGUGUCACUGAUGAAGUCACCGAUCUUCUGUACUUGAGUAACAUAGGGGAUGAACUUGAAAAUGAAAGUCAGAAUGCUGAUCCUGCUUGCUUUACACCAGUGAAGGAGUAAGUAUAUGAACUGUCACCCCCUCUCCCGACUCUCUGUUUGCUAAUACGAGACUAUGAAACAGUGUUCUUCCACCUGAGGCGAUGGAUAUGAUGGCUGAAGUAAGUGAGCUUCCAGAGAAAAGCAAAGAGGUGAAGAAAGCUAGAAGAGAAGUGAAUGGUGAAGAGAAUGGUGAUCCGUCUUGUUCUACCCCUUUGCCGGAGUGAGUAUUGCUACUCCCUUUCUUUUGUUACAUCAAACUUUCUUUACUUCAAGAUAAUUCUGAAAAUUAUCAUUGUAAUUUGACAUUAUUAAGCAUGCAUUGAUGCAGGAAUCAAGAAAUGCAAAGACCUGUGAAUGCUGUGGAGAAUGUGGUGUCUGCAGAUCUUGAUGAAAAUCAUCCUGUAGUCGAAGAAUCAGAAAAUGGGUUAGCGGUAGGAAAACCGAACACAACACUAUCUGUAGAAAUUCCUGACAUCGAGGAACAAGAGUCUCUGGAACCUUCCACUCCAGAGCCCUUGCGAGAGGGAGCCUCAGGUUAACUUUUGUGAGAAGUUCCUAUUCUACUUAUUGUCAUUAUCUUGCUCAUGUUUGUGACAUAUUUAUCUCAUGUACUAGAAAAAUUUGGUGUUGCAACACCUGCUCAAAAUGAGAAGCGCCAGGUUACCAGAAAAAGGAGGAGGGGGUUAUACAAUAAGAGAAAAGUUUGGGUGUUGUGGGAUGAGAAUGUUGUCCUUGAUAAUGAGUAAGUACAGUAACUUGCUUGUAGAAGCUCUUUCAUCUGUUGCAUUGCCUAUUCCUGUGUGCUUGUAUGCAUCUAGCAGCCAGUUUGAACUUCUCUAUCAGCUUAAGAAGUUUGUAUGGUGCAAAUGAGUUAGUAAUAUGGAAGAGCUUGCACAAGCUCUUCCAUAUGUUGCAAACCAUUUUAUUUUUGUUUGAGAACUGGGAGUGGUCUGAUCUGCAUUGACAUGCUUCUUUAAGGUGUUUCCUCUUUUUGUAUGAGAAUUGGGAGGGGCUGAUCUGCAUUGUCAUGCUUCUUUAAGGUGAUUCCGUAGUACAUGCAAAUUAUAAUAUGGCCACAUUAGCAUGCUUUUUAAAGGUGAUUCUGCAGUAUGAUGGAACAUUGAAUUUCUAUAUACAUGGUCCAUUCAUACUAUAACAUUGUUACUGUUUUUGGAACAUCCCCCCGACAACACAAUGAGUUUGUAAAAUAACUAGCUUGCACAAGCUCUUCCAGAUGUUGCAAACCUUUUUUUUUGUUUGAGAACUGGGAGUGGUCUGAUCUGCAUUGACAUGCUUCUUUAAGGUGUUUCCUCUUUUUGUUUGAGAAUUGGGAGGGGCUGAUCUGCAUUGUCAUGCUUCUUUAAGGUGAUUCCGUAGUAUGUAAAAUGAAAUGCAUGGUCGAUGCAAAUUAUAAUAUUGCCACAUUAGCAUGUUUUCUUUAAGGUGAUACCGCAGUAUGUUGAUGGAACAUUGAAUUUCUAUAUACAUGGUCCAUUCAUACUGUUUUUGGAACAUCCCCCCUACAGCACGAUGAGAGAAAUUGUAGACGGGGUUGGUGUAGAGGAUCUAGUUGUCAAAAGAAGGAAGGCGCCUCACACUCGCCAUCAGAUUUGGAGGGAGUCAAGAUUUCGUUCUCUGCAGGAUACUUUCAUGGAGCCAAUUCUUCAGUGUGAUAACAUUGAGCCAAUUCUUCAAUGUAAGUCAAUCAUUCAUCUAGUCAGGCUCAGUUAUUGAUGCAAACGUUAGUCAUCAGCUUAGCUGAUCAUCUUAUUUUAACAGAUUCGACUACAGUGCGCCUUAAUUCUACUACAGCCGAUGCCUCAUGCGGGGAAUCCGUUAAAGCAAAGAAGUGUCUUUCAUAUGAACCUGCUGAAUCCAACAAUCCCCACAAGGAAGCUGCAAAUGAAGAAACAGAAUGUGUCCCAGAUGAACUGACAAAUGGCAUCCAUACUCCUAUUGGGUGCUACAAUCAAAGUCAGCAAAGUCAAGAUGUUUGUGAAUGCAAUGAUGAUACACCUUAUGAAAAGAACAGCACACUAGUCAAUGGAGAGGAAUCAGGGCUGCCAGAAGAGAGAUUGUAUGAAUCAACCAGUCACAGUGCAUUGCGCAAUGAAUCGUUGACUGCUGACAUAGAUGCGGUAAGCACACGUCUACAUCUAAACUCAGUGGCAAAAAGGAUUCUAUUUAUGGUUUUACACUACACUUUAUUCAUUUGAGAAUGUUCUCUGGUUGCAGGAUAUUCCUAUGGAUGAAGAGAAUGCUGCCAGAGAUGAAGGUAAUGUUCACAACCUAUAGUAGUUUAUACUGCUGUGCUUGUGCUGUUUGACGUUUGUGCUUCUUCUGAUACACCACCCACUGUUAUUGUUGCAGAUUUCCCGCUUUCAACAAGAACUAGGUGAGAACAAGAUUGUUGUUGCUUUUCCUUUGUAUUCUUCCUGCUGUUAUCUGCCUGUAAUACUUACUCUCUAGGUUCACUAUUUCAGGGCAGUAGCAAAGUGCCUUCAUCAGCUAUUCUUGGACCAGAAGAGCCAGCAGCAAAGCAAUGUCCCCGUGACGCUCGGCCAGGCCCUCGAAGGCAGCAAGAGGAAAACCACAGCAAGAUUCUUCUAUGAAACUCUGGUAAGCUUGUUUCCUAGUUGAGCUGUCCUUUUCUUGAAAGAUUGAACUGGAUAAAAGGCUUGGAUUGCUACAAAUGAUCGAUCACUCAGUGUCUUUACAUAUUUAUGCAUAUCCAUCACAUUUUCAUUGUUCUUCUCUGCAAUAUAAUUUGAUGCCGGUGUCCUCUUUCAUUGCAAUGCGGGCCUCAAGAAUUUGCAGACAACACAUUUGUUCCAUUCUUAUUCUUACCAAUAGUUGUUUGUGUCUUGCAAAUUUCCAGUUUAGAUUCGCACCAUGUACUCCUUGUAUACUCAUGGUAAAUAAAUACUCCCUCCGUUCCAAAAUAGAUGUCCCAACUUUGUAUUAAUUUUAGUACAAAAUUGAGUCAUCUAUUUUGGAACGGAGGGAGUAAAUGCUAAUAAGCUACGUACCUCUCUUGUGCAGAUCCUCAAGAGCCGCGGGUUGAUAGAUGUGAAUCAGGAGAAGCCCUAUGAGAACAUCACAAUCUCUGCGACUCCACAACUCGACGCGGUGCUGCAGAAUCCAGUGCCCCCUUCAACUUCUUAGCAGCAGAUGUCAGGGUAGGUAGUUUUAGGAGAAAAUGACUCAAAGUUUCAGUUUUUCGCUAUAUCCCGUAGCAUCAUCGCGAGAAUAUGUACUGGUGGCAGGCCAGUUGUAUAUAUGGAUCAUUUGUUCGUUCGUAUGGGUCAGGAUUACAUAGAGAAAGCUUUAGGAUCUUGCUCGGUUAAGUUAACGACAGGCCGAGUUUCUUGCUGGUCGCAUGCGGGAUGUAAGUUAACUGAUGAGGUGGGGGUUUAUUCAGAUUGCAGUUUCUUGCCGGUUGCAUGUUGAAUGCUGAUGGCAUCUGCCAAUGAGUAAAAUAGCAGGCAAACACUCUGCCUGGUUUGGUUUGAUUGAUGCCGAGCGUGAGCAAUUUCUUUUCUUGGUAGUUUUUGGAUCAAUUUUCUUGGCAAUUUCUUUUCUAUUAGGGGGAGCAAGUCUCUUGCUUUUCUGGCUUCAGAGGCGACCUUCACUGCACAUGCACCUGUGACCUGUCCAAUGCAAGACUGGGGCUAAUUUGGACGGCGUUCUUGUCGAAUAGGAAAUAUAUUUUUUGGCAAUACAAUGUUCUGGGCUCCUCAUCUCUUCUCAUGCAGUGCGCUAGACCACACACAAUGAGUAAAAUACAAUGUUCUCUUGUCGAAGGAGAACAAUCUAGAGUAGAAUGAAAAAUGAGUGUAAUAUACAGUCAGGUUAUAGGCGUCGUUUCAGGGAACCAUCGUGACGCACGGGGAAAAAAGGAGCGGGGAUUAUCCCUAUAACCACAAGGGUUAUUUUUUUAACACUCCCCUUAAUCACCGUUUGAUUUUAUGAUAGUUCAUCAAUUAUUAAGUCUCCUCAAAAACCCUGUGGGUAAAAAUGUGAGGAGAAUAGUGUUGUUUGAUAUGUUGCCAAAACUGCUGAAACCUAGUAGAGAAAAUAAGAGAAAAUGAUGCAACAUAUAAUGGUUAUUGUCUCUUUUAACUCAAUACGAGAAAACCCAUAGAGACUUGGUGAACAAACCAGUUACAUGAUUUGACUUGCAAGAUAUGCCUCAUAGUUACAUGUUGAAGACUCUUUUGAAGACUCUUUAUGAGAGGGCUAUCACACCUAGUAGGAACACUAAACUUGUUUACGAUCUGACAUAGUGAGGAUUUGAUCAAUGUAUCCAAUGAUAUCGGUGUUCACAUUUCUGUGAAACUGAAAAAACCAGGACAAGAUGUUUGACGCCUUGAAGAUAUCGAAAGAUAUUCUUGAGUACCAACCAAUUGUGUUCAGUGGAUUCAAUGGCAUUAUGGAACGUUGAGUCCCAAUAUCUCAUUUCCAUUAUUGUGGAUUCAAUGGCAUUAUAGACCUUUCUCUAUGUCUAGAGAAUGAACUACCAUGAGAGUUAUGGAUGGAUAAGAUUUGUCCACAAUGAAUUUCUCCAAUAUAUUUUGGAUAUAGACAACAUAGUAUACCAUUCAGUUUAAACCCCGUCAUUUAGAUGAUUACAUGUGUCGUCAUUGUAGACACACAAACAUGGAUAAUCAUCAUUGUAGGAGUAAUCCUUGUGAAUAAGGAACUCACUACGUCGGUUGUACCAAAUAUACCGACGAUAAUAAUAAGUCAGGUGACUUAUUGAUUUUACACGAUGUAUGUCUCAAUUCAGAGUUGAGGUUCUGUCGGGAACCAUAUAUAUCCGAAUCUAGUGAUCUACAUGGAUAUGUAAUCAUUACAUCUAUCAACUGCAGAGAUGAUUUUGAACUGACAAGAUAUAAGUUAUCAGAAUGAGAUUCCACCUCUGGAGAAUAGUUGGGUAUUUGCAUGAACCCUUGUGCUACAAUACUUGCUACAAUACUUGCUACAAUACUUGCUAUUUGCACAACUUUUGCUCCCAGCCCAUGCACCCUUUAUACACCCUGCCUAACACUAUUCGUGCUUCAUAUGGUUCAUGUUUUGUGGAGUACUGUAGCACCGUACUCUCCGUGCACUGUAGACCUACUUCUGUUAACAUUGAUCUCACCGUUCAUUCUCGACCGGACAGUCGAAAAAGCGGUACUAUGUUACAUAUAGGAGUAGUUGACAUGCGCACAACAUCAUUUGUUAUCGUCAUAUCUUACUACACUAGCAACAAGAUUGUCUAGUACUGACGUAUGAACGACUGCACAUGCCUAGUAGUAGGAGCACUGUGUAUGUUCAAGUGGUUGCCGUGUUUCGCACUCCUCUGUCGUAAGAGUGGAAACACUUGCUGUAAUCAUUUUUUCUUCAGAAAAACAGUGGACACGCUCUACCGUGUGGAUCCUCCUCCAGCCAUGCACUAAAUUACUCACUUUCGCCGACGUGUGGGACAGCCAGCACCUGGGUCCACCAGCCAUGCACUAAAUUACUCCGUAGUAGUGUGACGGUAGACUACCCCGAUCAAAGCGCCGCAGUAAUGCCCAAUGAGCCGUCAAAUCACAAAACCCCCUCCUUUCCAGCAGUAAGUUGGACGGAUGAAGCAACCAUCAUUUCACUCUUCUCUCUCAGCUUCCUCUCUUGAAGAAAACCCCCACUCGCUUCGCUUCUCCCUCAUCUCAUUCCUCCUUUCACUCUUCUCUCUCAGCUUCCUCUCUUGGAUGGACGCUAGAGCACCGGCCGACGUGAUGUCUAUGGCUCUGGCCAAAACCGUCGAGGCUCAUGGUACGAAGAAGCGCAAGCACCCCGCCGAAACUACCGCACACAAGCUCAAAGCCAUCGCCCUGUCCAAGCCCCUCUCUCCGGGAUCCCUCAUUAAGCAAGUCCAGGUAAUGUCUCUUGUUGACGAUCUUUUUCUCGAUCUUGAUAGUGUUUUUUCAUCUAACACGCAGUACUAGUACUGGUAGUACAACUUUCUGGGUGAUCUUGCAUGUGAUUUUAGUGUGCCAAACGAUGUUUCUAAAUUCCUCUUUUGACCAAAACAUGCGAGAGGUUGACACUGAUUUCUUAUAGAUUACUUUCAAGUACUCCCUCUGUCCCAAAUUUCUUGUCUUAGAUUUGUCUAGAUACGGAUGUAUCUAAUAAAUGUGGGACGGAUGGAGUACUUUAUGAACAUCAAUGCUACAUUUGAAGAGGGUAUAUUUGCCUCAGUAACUUGUAUUAUGGAUACUGCAAGUAAUCCCUCUGCUCUCAUGCCUUUGAAGACAUGUUCUAGUGUCUCUGUUCACUCAUUUCUGUGCAUAUAUGUAGUCAUAUAUGGAGUAUAAUAUCGAAAAUCAUCUUAUAUUUCUGAACGGAGGUAGUAAUAAAAUAUGGUUUCUGUUUGAAUUAGAACCAGGUCCGCGGUGGAGAUGAAGUUCUCAAAGUCAUGCCGUGUGAACUAGAAGACCUGGGGAUGAGUUCUACUGCUAAACUAUCCAGCUGAUGUGCCCUUGUCGCCACGUGUCCUGAACUAGUGUUUUCCUGUAGCAUUGUUGUCAGGCAUGUUCUCGAGGUUGUACUUGACCACAACAAUUUCCUAGCUGUGCCUUCGAUUAUGAAGGGUGUGGUUCUUGUAAAGCUUCCCAACAAAUCUGAUGCAGCCUGUCUUCAUCAUCAUGUUUAUGAGUGAAAAAAGCACUCUGUUAGGUUCUCCAAGGUUGACAAGAUGGUGAUGGUGCAUGUAGACAUCUCUCACGAAGUCCAUGGCCUAGUUAGUUAUGCGGGGUUCAUCCCGUAGGUCAGUGGCAAGAAAUAGUCUGCAGAGUUUAAUUAGUGCAACUUUGCUUGUCUAUAGUAAGUACUAUUGUUCAGUACUUGAUUUGUGUUUGUGAACCCUGUAUUGUUUAUUAGUACUACCACUUUUGGUGUGUGGUCAGUCCUGAGAACGGUCUAUGUUAAUGUCUGUCCACUCAAUUCAGUCUGUAUAUUUUGAAGUAUCCAGAUCAUCUUUUUUGUGAGGACGGUUUAUCAAUUAUGGUUACACUCCAAUAUCUGUAUGCAUUGCAGGGUUUAUCACACCCACCAGGAUUUCCAGUCCCAUGGAUGUUCAGUCCAUACGAUUUGUCAUGACCUUUGGACUGUCCUGCUUGUGGGAGUAGGAGGGCCCCCUGCAUGCCACCCGUAGUUGGACGAUCAAUCUUCUAUUUAGUACUUCAACAUAGUGAUUUCCUGGUAAGGAUUCACUCGUGUCACAUCAAGUAAAUCUUAUUGAUUUACUGUCUAAAUCUUAUCGAUUUAAUGUCAUGUUUUCUUUCUUUUCCUGCAAUUUUAUGAUGUAGAUUUUGCCAUGUGACAUUCAUCACAGAAUAAACCGUUUGGUUUGCUCUACGAUGGCUAUUUUUGCAGGUUUCACUUCUUAUGUCGUGUCAGUAAUGAAGGCACUGUCCAUCACUUAUAUUACUGGAAAAAAUUAGAUCAGUCUCUGAGUACAAGCUGAAUCCCUAUGCUGAACUGCAGUUUGGUUUAACAAAAAUGCCACAAUUAGUCCUUCUCGCGUUUAAAAGAAAUGAAGAAAAAAACUGGAUCACGGUCACGGAUCCUAGUCAAGUUAGAAAGCUGAUCAUAGCAGACCAGACACGAUCGCCGCUGUCUCGCACAUCGGUACCACCUUCAAUAACGGAUCGAGCAUCGUCAGUUUCUCUAGCACUGACAACGGCAGCAGCUCAGUCUGAUCUAGCUAAGGAUUGGGCACCGACCGCGUCAGCGGAUCAGUCUGAUCUACCGGAGGAUCGGGCAUCGACACCGGCACCUGCUUCGACACCGGCACCAGCUCUACAAGGAGCACCAUCUCCGGCAGCAGCAGCGGCUUCGGCACCUGCACCAACACUUGCACUUGCAUCUGCUCCGGCCCGUGUAGUUGCACCGGCAACAGACUGGGCUGCAGUUCACACUUCAUAUACCAAAGUCCUUACAAAAACCGACAUGUCCACCUUCUUUGUAAGCAUUGGCCGCCCAAGUGCUUCGUUCUUUUUUCUUUUCAUAUUGUUUCACAUGAUUCACUGUGUUGAUCUAACUGUUUGGGUAUGUCUUCUUGUUUGCAAAUAGAGAAUUCCUAGAGUAACGAGGGAGUUGUUCAACAAUCCGGGCGACCGCGGCCAAGUUUCUCUUACCAUGCGCAGCCUUGGUGUGAAUGAACCUGCUCAAUAUACCGUAAGUACAAAGGAUGGUCACAUGAUGAUUGAUGCUAAAGGAUGGUCAAGGUUCAAAUCUAAAUCAUAUCUUGCGGUAGGGGAUGAUGUCAAAAUCGAACUUUCUCGGCAAGGAGAGCCGGUCCAAAUCAACUUUGAAAUUCUUCAGUAGCAGCACACAACUGCCGAACUGAUCUAUCCUCUGAGAGAUUUUGAUGUAAUAAUCUGGCAUGGUGAAACAAGUGUCCUGUGUGUAUAAAUAGUACGAUAAUAUUAUUUAUCACAUGGUAUAUCGUUGAUAGAAUUGCAACUAUGAUUGCUGGUUAGGAACUGUCGUUCGAUUUCAUUCCAACAGCUGUCGUGCGUUAUUCACUUUUGUGUAUUCGCCUUGUGACAACAUCUAAAACCAGCGCCGUACCAAUCGCUUGUAAUAUGAAAAGUACUGAGGUAGAACACAUGGGCCCCCAAACAUGCAGGGUGGGCAUGCGGCCCAAAGUCCAGAACCGUGAGCCUGUCUGAGUAUUAUAUUCUCAGCUGAACCCCCAUAAAAAAAGCUGAACCCCCAUAAUGCCCGUGCGUUGCAUGUAACAUCAAGAUGCAUUUGUAUGAGUAUUUUAUCUUGUGAGAGAAAAGGAUGAACAAGGGAAGGCCUUAUUUGCAAAUGUGGAGAGGUGUGUGAGUACCUUUUUGCAAAAUUGCCAUAGUUUCCUUCCUAUCCGUCAGAUAUAAAUCGGACGGCCUAUAUUGCAGGAUGGCAGACACACCAUCAUCACCAACUCGUCUAUACUGUGUUAAAAACAACUCUGUUUUUAUAAUUAUAUAUGUUAUAUAUAUUCCCCUUGAUUUUUCUUAUGUAUAAAGUUGUGAUAUAAAAGAUUUGUAUAUUUCUUUACAGAGGGAGUAUCUCUUUGUCAAAAAAUAUAUUUAUGUGUAACUAGUUACUCCUGUCUUUUUACUUCCUUCCGCUGAUAUGUGGGGCAACCGACAACGGGGUCCACGUGCCAUAUGCACAAAUUAGAGUGCACAACUGCACGGUAUACACACCCCGGUCGUAGCGCCACAAUAAUGCCCAAUGAGUCAUCAAAUCACAACCCCCCCCUCUUUCCAGCUUUAGCAGUAAGCUGGACGGACGAAGCGGCGAUAUUUCACUGGGCCUGAAUCCCCUUCUCCCUCGUCUGCUUGUUCAGAGAAAACCCCCUCUCGCCGAUUGAUAGGGUUUUCUCAUGGAGAACCAGUUACGAAUUCUUCAUCCACCCCCGAUAAGUCCAAGUCCCUUGGUCGCAAGUAAUCCUAGGAUGGCAGCCGCCGUCGUUGAUGCAUUUUUCUUCCUACUGAAUCUAGUGUGUUUCAUUUGCAGUGCCCAAAGUGCGAGUACCCUACAGGUUUAUGCGCCCUCGGCGAGACGCCACACUUGUUCCUUCUCAUCCUAACACAGGAUUUUGAAACGCGCACAAUAUGUUCCUAGAAUCCUCUUUUCUAUCUGGGAGGGUGGUUUUUUUUGAACAUGCUGUCGACUAAUUUGGAAAUUUGGAUUGCUAUAUUUGGAUAAAAGGUAGUACUAGUAAGAUGGUCCACUGACAUGAAGGAGGAAGUUAUUUCUAGAUUUGGAUACGGAAUACGUUGUGUUCUCAUAUUAUUUUUCAUGCAGUGUAUUAUUUGCUCUGCCAGAACACAUUUACUCAAGAUGCUCGGCCUUGCCAUAACUAAAUACUAGUUUAAUGGUCACAGUGAAGACAAGCCAUGGAUAUUAGUUCCGAGUUGGCUUCAUGAACCAAGAAGAUCACUGCUUUUUUUAUGGCCGAACUUGGAUAAACUUUCUCAAGUGUUACAGACUGAAAGUUGGCGCACGAAUGUUGAUGGAAAUAGCAGAACCGGGUCUCAUCUUUGCGGCAAUCUUCCACCCCGACGUCAUUCCAAUUGUUCAUCCAUGUUAGUUUUGUAUCUGGUUCUUGCUUGUUGCCUCGAUUACUUCUUAAUCCACCUAUCCUGUAUAACUAAUCACAAUUUAACUUUAGAAGUAGCAACGAAUCUCUCACAAAGAUGCUAUUUCUAACUAAUAUUUUCUUAUAAUUGGUGGCAUGUGUAGGUUUUUCAGAGUUAAGGAGGCUGCUUGUUUGUUAUUAUGCAUUAACUCGGCUGUUACUGAUGGCACUGAAGUUGACUGGGACGACAUCCACAAGUUCCUACACUUUAUUGAUCGUCUUGAGGUCCUUGUGGGGCGUUUCAAUGGUGGAAGGCCACGUGAGAUAUGUGUGCCACUGGUGCACUCGUUGAACAGGUCCAAAUGUGUCGAGAAACUUAUGGUAUGAGCUGUUUUCUAUUAUAUAUGUUGUUCAUAAACUAUUGCUUAUACACAGUUUUACAGCUGUGAUCUUCUUGAAACAGAAACUGCCGAGUUCUAUUGUUCCUAUACAGAUGCCUGACCAUGGUCGGGUCAGAAUUGCGCUUGGUCACAACAUGAUGUUUAUGUCGACCUACUCAAUUCCCCUUGGAGGUGAAAAGAUACUUAUUCAUGGGUGGUCUCAAAUAAUGAAGGCCCGUCCAUCUUGGAGAAUAGGACAAAAGAUUAUGUUCAUGCUUUUCCAUGGCUCUAAAGCGAAUAUCCUGUUUAUUGACCACAUUGCGAGAUAAAGCCGCUUUUAGAAGGUUGUGGAUGCGCGGGGUGGUGCCUGGGCCUUGUCCUGGGGCUUGGCGGCCUCACCCUUGAUUAAUUGUAGGCAAAGUAGCACUGUUCGAGGCGUGCUUUGUAUGGUUGAACAUGUAUAAGUACUCAUACUGCUUUCUGCUUUGGUUGUUAAGUGCCCCUGCUGGUUUCGGUUAAGGUUGUUAAGUACUCCUGCUGCUUUUACAGUCUGUCGUGUUUCUUCAGUCCUGUCUUCCUCCAGCCGCCAAAACCAAACCAGCGCCGGUGGGGCUGCCUGCUUCCGCCUCCCACGGCUGGCUACGCCUCAACGCACGCAUCACCGCCCCACCAUCUCCUAAAUCGUUAACACCGACGUCCUCCGCGCAGUUUGGUGCGCUCGCCACAGCGGCACCCUCUCGCGUUGUUAACAUGGUCAACAAACAACAGGAAUCGAUAGAAGUAGGUGGAGAGGAUGACAGUAGGGGCCCACCACGUCAGCGUAUGGAAAAAUAAAAUGCUUCCUCCUAGUGUUUUCCUGACAUCUGGGACCCACGACAUUAUGAGCGUAUAUAGCCAAUAGACAAGAGAACAGCACAAGAUCGGCUGACACCUGGGACGUAGCUGCUCGAGCAGUAUUUUUUUUGUUAUUGUUGAGACGGAGCAGGGUUUGAACUGGGCUGUGGCCUAUCUUGCCCAGGCUUAUAUUUUAUGUUCACCAUGUGACCAACCCAGCUAUUUUUUCUUUGUGAAAAUGUGCCCAGUUUAUUUUUUCUCAAGAAUACCCAAUCCAAGCCUACUUAUUUUUUUACGCCCUGAUGGGCUGCAUCUCUUUCAAGAGGCCUGCAAAUCUUGAAAGUAAUAUGAAAUGGGUUGUAAAUAUAAAAAUAGAUGACAAAUUGGCAAUUACUUUAUAAUUUCUGAUUUUUUUUUCACAUUUUCAGAUUCUUAUUUCACUAGGCAUUAACCUAAUUUCAAUAUAUCUUCAAAGUACUUUAAAUUCGGCUCGACAUUUCGGUAUUAAAAAUAGUUUGGAACCCACAGAAAUAUGCGAAAUUGGCCCUGGCCAACCAAAAAAACGACUGCAAUAAAUUGCAUAAGAAGUUGCCAUGAGAUAUAUAUAAAUUAUUAAAAAAAGAGGGAGUGGUCUGACUUGUGGGCCUGUUUAGUUGACGCGUAUGCAAGAUUUUUUUAGUUAUUAUAUAUGUCAACAAACGAUUCUAGCAGACGUAACCGUUGGAUGUCAAUCCAACGGCCAUCGUGUUUCUUCAAUCUCUGAUCUUCUUGCUCCAGCCGCCAAAGCAGCGCCGGCGGGACCGCCUGCUCCAACCUCCCGUGGCCGGCUGUGCUGCCACGCAAGCGUCAGCGCCCCCUACUACUCCCACCGCUGGCCAGGGCAUCCCUCUACUCACCCACACCCCCUGGUAUUCUGCGGGGACGGCAGCCUCACACCGCAGCCGAACCGGUGAACCCUUGUACUCCUCUCCACGCGGGCUUCCACUGCGGCGUCUUCCCCGACUCCGCGUCGUCCCCUUCCUGGGCCUCGCCGUCGUCCACCGCCGUGGUGCUCUCGGCGCGGCAUGGUCAAUGUGGUCAAACCGACUUCCAUCGGAAGAGUACUGUAUGUGGAGAGGCUGACAGCUGGGUCCACGGUAGCCGCAAGGAAGUGCCUCCUUAUUAUGCGGAAAAUAAUUAUUCCUCCACCCGACAGCAGGGACCCAUCGGACGGGCCACCAGUAUUUCACGAAAAAAACAUUUCCCCCUGACUGCUGGGACCCACCGGACGGGCCACCGUAUUUCGCGAAAAAAAACGUUCCCCCCGCUGUCAGCUCGUACCCACCGGAAGUGCCUCCUUAUUACGCACAAAAAAAUGAAUACCCCCUGCUAGCUGGGACCCACCUUGGUGGGAGGCUGACUUGUGGGCCUACUAAGUUGACUGGAACGGAGGCCUUUGUCAACUUUAGUCAAUAUAUGAACGAUUCUAGCUCAAGUGGCCGUACGAUGUCCAUCCAACGGCCGUAGUGCCUCUUCAACCUCUGGUCUUCUUGCUCCAACCGCCCAAAGCAGCGCCGGUCGUGCCACAUGCUCCUGCCGCCAGUGGCCGACUGUGAUGCCGUGGAGGCCUCACCGCCCCCUACUACUCCCACCGCUUGCUAGGCCAUCCCUCUACUCACCCACACCCCUUGUUAUUCUGCAGCGACGGCAGCCUCACACCGCAGCCGAACGAGUGAACCCUCAUACUCCUCUGCGCGUGGGCAUCCACUGCCGCGUCUUCCCCGGCUCCGCGUCGUCCCCUUCCUAGCCUCGGCGUCGUCCACGGCCCUGGUUCUCUCAGCGCGGUGUGGUCAACGUGGUCAAGGAACGACUUCCAUCGGACGUAGACUGUACGUGGAGAGGCUGACAGCUGGAUCCACGGCCGCAGCAAGGAAGUGCCUCCUUAUUACGCAGAAAAUAAUGAUUCCUCCACCUAACAACAAGGACCCACCGGGCGGGCCACCGUAUUUUGCAGAAAAAACGUUUCCCCCUGACUACUGGGACCCACCAGCUACAUCUUCGCACGCAAGGAAUUGCCUGACAGUCGGGACCCACUUGGUCGAAGCAUACGUAGCGCUUUCAUUCUGGUCGCGAACGUGUACAUACAUACUGGUGGAUGUAGAGGCGCGCACGUGUCGUAGUAGAGGCGCGCACGUAGCAUGUACAUGUACGUACAACGGCCAAUGUGCAAGAAAGAAAAUAGGGCCACGUAUGUGUACAUACGGGCGGGGUCUCGAACGCCUACUCGUGCAUACGUACGACCAGGGCUCGUGUACAUGGCUGGGUCGGAACGGAGAAAAAACGUCGUCGUCGUGUUCAUAGGGAGCCAACCGGCCGGGUUGGAAUGGAAUGCGUUGUCGUGUUCAUCGGGAGGGCUUGGACGGAACAGGCGAUGGAAACGAGGCCUGCCGUACCGUAGAACGGAGGAAACGGCCUUGUGUUCGUCCGGCCACAUUCAAAACGGGAUCCUGUUCAUCAGGAGGGGUCUGGCAUACCGCAAAAUGGAGGAAACGGACCUCCUACGGUCGAAAUGGAGGUCCUGUUGAUCGGGAGGGGUGUGGCAUACCGCAAACGGGUGAAAUUGACCUGUGAUGGAGUGCUACGGUCGAAACGGGGGUCCUGUUGAUCGGGAGGGGUGUGGCGUACUGCAAAACGGACGAAACGGACUUGUGUUAGAGCGCUACGGUCGAAACGGGGGUCCUGUUCAUCAGGAGGGGUGUGGCGUACCGCAAAACGGGACUCCACGAGGUACUGUUCAUCUCCAGUGUCAACCUCCUCCAGCCUCCACGGGCUACUGUUCAUCCACCGUCGACCACCUCCAGCCUCCACCUGCGACUGUUCAUCCAUAGGCUCCUGUUCAUCCAGCCUCCACCGCGCGCUACUCCACCGGCUAUUGUUCAACCACCCCUCUCCACGGGCUCCCGUUCAACCACCCCUCCAUGGGCUACUGUUCAUCCACCCCUCCACCGUCUACUGUUCAUCCAUCCCUCCACGGGGUCGUCCUAUUCAUCCAUCCCUCCACGGGGUCCUGUUCAUCCAGCCCCAACCGGCUCGAUCAAUCGGGGUCUUGUUCAUCCAAAGGCAACACCACGGGUCCUGCUCAUCCACUCCCACCGCUCACUGUUCAUCCACCCCCCACCCCCCGCGACGCUCAUUAUUCAUCCAAACCCCCCUGCAACGCUCACUAUUCAUCCAGAGGCAGCAUCGAUCGGCUUCAGUUAGCAGCAGUAGCAAAGGAAUCGCUCGAUCGCUCGGGUUCAGUAACGCGUAGCCUGUAGUGCAAUCGCUCGGGUUCAGUUAGAGCCCGACGCCUCGCACACACACGCGUACGUGUACAAGAGAAACGCGCAUCGCUCGGCCCCCGACCACCCACCGUAACUGGGAACUCCCCAAAAUUUUCCGCGCCCUCGCUUCUACCACGGUUUUUUUCGUCAUGGACGGCCCAAAGAAUGUCAUGCAGCUGCGUCCCCGGCCCGCCCAGGACGAAAAGCCCAUUUUCUGUCAUGAUUUUUUGUCAUAGAAGUAGGAUCCCACCACAUCUAUGAUGAUACCGGGUUUUGUCACAAUUAUCGUCAUAGAAGUGUCAUAAGUAUGACAGAAAAAAGUUUCGUUCGGCCCAAAAUGUCACGGAUGUGUCUUUUUUUUGUAUUGAUGGCAGGACCACAAGCCGACGAGAUUGACUAGGAGAACAUGAUGAACAAGGAGUUGCAUGAUAAAUUUCAGCAAAUGAUGAGUGGCUAGGUGGGAGAUGUGCUAAACAGAUUUGCAGAGGCUAUGGAGAAGAUAGAUGCCAUGGAGAAGUCGUUCGAGACAAAGCUGGAUACCAAGUUUAAUGAAUUUCUCAAGCGUCUUCCUCAACCACCACCAGCUGCACCUACCGCACCUCUGCAACGACAACAAUAACACCCCCUUUCGAAUCAAUUUGGACGAGCGACGCGUGUUCCUCUUGAGGAUGGCCAAACUUCUGGUGCUGUUGUACCUACUGUUGAUGCUUCUUUGGCUCCUGCUACUGCUGCUGGUGGUGCCGAGGAGGAUGACGAUUAUGCGGGCGAUUACGAGGAUGAGGUUGAUCAAAAUCAGAACUACGUGCAACCACCAGCACUAGGUCGUCCACAUGCAUAUAAUCGCAAUGGUAGGCCUUCACUACCACCUCAGGUGCGAGAUUAUAACCAUAUUCCUAAACUGAAAUUGAAUAUUACACCGUUUGAGGGUAGGUACAUUCCUGAUGUAUAUCUUACUUGGGAGUUAGAAACUGAACAACGUUUCACAUGCUUACAAUAUCCCAAGGAGAGACGUGUUGCUGCUGCUAUUUGUGAAUUCACUAGUUUUGCUUUUGUUUGGUGGUUUGAACAUUGUAGAUUAUAUCCUAUUCCAACUACUUGGGCUGCUUUGAAAACUGCUAUGCGUACUCGUUGGGUUCCACCAUAUUGUCAACGUGAAUUGCUUCAAAAAUUGUAGCGUUUAAGACAAGGAAACAAUUCUGUAGAAGAAUAUUAUCAGGAAUUACAAACCGACAUGAUUAGAUGUGGUAUUGUUGAGGAUAACGAAGCUAUGCUUGCAUGUUUUAUGGGUGGAUUAAAUGAGAUUCGGACCAUUCUCGAGUAUAAGGAGUAUACUAAUAUCACUCAUUUCUUCCAUCUUGCUUGCAAAGCUGAACGUGAAGUGCAGGAUCGACAUGCAUUGGCGUGAACUAACUUUUCUACAGGCCGGCCUUCAUCAUGGACACCGCGUGCAUCCUCUACUCCCACACGUCCUACUGCAGCACCACUAACUUCAGGUGCCAAUUCCAACCGAGAUACAAGAAAACAGGCACCAUCACCACCAUCUCCCAGGAAUACACCUUCCGGUUCCGCACAGAGCUCUUCAUCCAUGGCAUCAACAGGGAAAACACAUGAUAUUAUUUGUCGUUGUUGCAAGGGUGGAGGUCAUUAUGUGAGAGAAUGCCCAUCUAAGCGCGUGAUGAUUGCUACUGAGGAUGGUGGGUAUGAGUCCGCUAGUGACUACUUUGGCUCUUAUUACAAGUGAAGAACAUGGUGGACAUGAUUCUGAUCAUGAGACGCAAUACAUGGCUCCUGAAGAUGCUGGCAGAUAUGAAGGUUUAGUUUCUCAACGUGUUUUGAGUGUGCAGGUCACACAAGCUGAGCAAAAUCAGAGGCAUAAUUUGUUCAAUACAAAGGGAGCUGUGAAGGAAUGUUCUAUUCGCGUCAUCAUAGAUGGAGGGAGCUGCAACAACUUGGCUAGUAUAGAGAUGGUGGAGAAGCGACAUCUCACCACAAGACCACAUCCACAUCCUUACUACAUCUAAUGGUUCAACAACAGCAGCAAGGUUAAGGUAACACAUACUGUUCGUGUGCAUUUUAGUAUCUCUACAUAUGCUGAUUAUGUUGAUUGUGAUGUGGUACCUAUGCAAGCAUGUUCCUUAUUACUUGGUAGACCAUGGCAAUUUGAUAAAAAUUAUGUACACCAUGGUAGAAACAAUCAAUAUACUCUUGUUCAAAAGGAUAAAAAUAUUACUUUGCUUCCUAUGACUCCUGAUUCUAUUUUGAAAGAUGAUAUUAAUAGAGCUAAUAAAGCAAAACAGGAGAAAAAUAAGAGUGAAAAUCAGAUUGUGGCAAAAGAAUUUGAGCAACAAAUGAAGCCUAAUAAUAAACCAUCUAGUGUUGCUUCUGAAAUUAAAUUGAAAAGUACAUGUUUACUUGCCACCAAAUCUGAUAUUGAUGAUCUAGAUUUCAGCAAAUCUGUUUGCUAUGCUUUUGUGUGCAAAGAGGCCUUAUUUUCUUUCGAGGACGUGCCUUCCUCUUUGCCUCCCGCUGUCACUAACAUUUUGCAGGAGUUCACUGAUGUCUUUCCACAAGACAUGCCACCGGGAUUACCACCCAUUCGAGGGAUUGAGCAUCAGAUUGACUUAAUUCCCGGUGCAUCACUACCCAAACGUGCACCAUACCGUACCAAUCCAGAGGAGACAAAGGAGAUUAUGCGUCAAGUACAGGAGCUGCUCGACAAAGGUUAUAUACGCGAAUCUCUUAGUCCUUGUGUUGUUCCUAUUAUACUAGUGCCAAAAAAGGAUGGUACAUCGCGUAUGUGUGUUGAUUGUAGAGGCAAUAAUAAUAUUACUAUUCGUUGUCGUCAUCCUAUUCCUAGGCUAGAUGAUAUGCUUGAUGAAUUGAGUGGCUCUACAAUAUUCUCAAAGUUGAUUUGCGUAGUGGAUACCAUCAAAUUCGUAUGAAAUUGGGGGACGAAUGGAAAACAACAUUUAAAACUAAGUUUGGAUUAUAUGAGUGGUUAGUCAUGCCUUUUGGCUUAACUAAUGCACCUAGUACUUUCAUGAGAUUAAUGAACAAAGUUUUACGUGCUUUCAUUGGACGAUUUGUGGUAGUCUAUUUUGAUGAUAUACUGAUUUAUAGCAGAUCUUUGGAGGAACAUUUGGAACAUUUACGUGUUGCUUUUAUUUCUUUACGUGAUGCACAUUUGUUUGGUAACCUUGGGAAGUGCACCUUUUGCACCGACCUAGUAUCUUUUCUUGUCUAUGUUGUUACUCCAUAGGGAAUUGAAGUUGGUAAAGCCAAGAUUGAAGCUAUUGAGAGUUGGCCGCAACCCAAAACGGUCACACAAGUGAGGAGUUUUCUUGGACUCGUUGGUUUAUAUAGGCGUUUUGUGAGAGAUUUUAGCACCAUUGCUGCACCUCUCAAUGAGCUUACGAAGAAGGAUGUGCCUUUUGUUUGGGGUGCCACACACGAAGAAGCCUUCACGAUAUUAAAAGAUAGGUUAACACAUGCUCCUUUACUCCAACUUCCUGAUUUUAAUAAGACUUUUGAGCUUGAAUGUGAUGCUAGUGGAAUUGGAUUAGGAGGUGUGUUAUUACAAGAUGGCAAACCUGUUGCAUACUUUUCUGAAAAAUUGAGUGGGCCUAGUCUGAAUUAUUCUACUUAUGAUAAAGAAUUAUAUGCUCUUGUUCGUACUUUAGAAACAUGGCAACAUUAUUUAUGGCCCAAAGAAUUUGUUAUACAUUCUGAUCAUGAAUCUUUGAAACAUAUUAGAAGUCAAGCUAAACUGAAUCGUAGACAUACUAAAUGGGUUGAAUUCAUUGAGACUUUCCCUUAUGUCAUUAAACACAAGAAGGGUAAAGAAAAUGUUAUUGCUGAUGCAUUGUCUCGUCGCUAUACUAUGCUUUCACAACUUGACUUCAAAAUAUUUGGUUUGGAGACCAUCAAAGAUCAAUAUGUGCAUGAUGCUGAUUUUAAAGAUGUAAUGCGGAAUUGUAAAGAAGGAAGAAUGUGGAACAAGUUCGUCAUUAAUGAUGGAUUUGUGUUCCGUGCUAACAAGCUAUGCAUUCCAGCUAGCUCCGUUCGUCUUUUGUUGUUGCAGGAGGCGCAUGGAGGAGGAUUAAUGGGACACUUUGGCGUGAAGAAGACGGAGGACGUACUUGCUACACAUUCUUUUGGCCAAAGAUGAGACAGGAUGUUGAGCGCUUUAUUGCUCGCUGCACUACAUGUCAAAAAGCUAAGUCAUGACUCAAUCCUCAUGGUUUAUAUAUGCCUUUGCCUGUACCUAGUGAUCCUUGGGAGGAUAUAUCUAUGGACUUUGUUUUAGGUUUACCUCGAACAAAGAAGGGGAGGGAUAGCAUAUUUGUUGUCGUGGAUAGAUUCUCGAAAAUGGCACACUUUAUACCAUGUCAUAAAAGCGAUGAUGUUGUUAAUGUUGCUGAUUUGUUCCUUCGUGAAAUUAUUCGCUUGCAUGGUGUGCCAAAUACUAUUGUUUAAGAUCGUGAUACUAAAUUUCUUAGCCACUUUUGGAGAUGUUUAUGGGCUAAGUUGGGGACUAAACUGCUUUUUUGUACUACUUGUCACCCCAAAACUGAUGGACAAACUGAAGUAGUCAAUAGAACAUUGUCAACUAUGCUUAGGGCUGUUUUGAAGAAUAAUAAGAAAAUGUGAGAGGAAUGCUUGCCUCAUAUUAAGUUUGCUUAUAAUCGUUCAUUGCAUUCUACUACUAAGAUGUGCCCUUUUGAAAUUGUGUAUGAUUUCCUACCUCGUGCACCUAUUGAUUUGUUGCCUCUUCCAUCUUCGGAGAAGGUUAAUUUUGAUGCUAAACAACGUGCUGAAUUGAUUUUAAAAAUGCAUGAGUUAACUAAGGAAAACAUUGAGCGUAUGAAUGCUAAAUAUAAACUUGCUGGAGAUAAGGGUAGAAAACAUGUUGUGUUUGCACCUGGAGAUCUUGUUUGGUUACAUUUGCGUAAGGAUAGAUUUCCUAAUUUGCGCAAAUCAAAGCUAAUGCCACGUGUUGCUGGACCUUUUAAGGUGUUAGAGAAAAUAAAUGAUAAUGCAUACAAACUUGAGCUGCCUACAGAUUUUGGGGUUAGUCCCACUUUUAACAUUGCAGAUUUGAAGCCUUAUUUGGGAGAGGAAGAUGAACUUCCGUCGAGGACGACUUCAUUGCAAGAAGGGGAGGAUGAUGAGGACAUCAAUACCAUUGUUACACCCACAACCCCUGCUACUAUACAUACUGGACCAAUUACUAGAGCUCGCGCAAGCCAAUUAAAUUACCAGGUACUUUCAUUUCUUGGUAAUGAUUCUAAUCUUCAUGAGAAUAUGAUGCUGCCUAAAUUGGAUACAUUUGUUUUGCUUACAAAUGAAGGGCCUAUCUUGGAGAAGGAUGAAGAGCAAGAACAAGCAUGGAGAUGAUGGCAUGCGCAAGGGGAACAAGAAUGGAGUUACAACUGAUGAUUUCAGGACGUUGAAGCCACCAUAAUGAGUGCAUGAAGCAUUGGAUGAAAUAUACAAGAUGCUACUUCAUAAUUUCGUCCACAUGCUAUUCUAGGUGCUGCAUCACCUUAUUAUUGGGCCAGGCCCAUGUAAUUUAGAAAUGCUUGAUUGUAGGCUGUUUUUAGAGUCCGUAUGUGUGGGGAAACAAGAGUUAGGGUUGGUUUCGGACCCCUCCCUCAAGGGCCACGAAAUUCCCCCUCUUCCACCAUAUAUACAGCCCUUAGGGCGUCGUUUAGACUUUGGAUUUUGUUUAGAUUAAAGUUCGCCAUAGCUGCAACUUCGCGUACUUUGUUUGUGUUCAACGACCAACCAAAUACGUCACAGAAUCCCACGUUCAUCAAUAAAGCUUUCCUCUUAUACUCGCAAUAUCUAGAUUGCAAUCUCAGUUUCUUGCUUGUUCUUCAUUUGCUUGCACGAAAUAGACCCUCGUGGUCAGGUUGAUCGUGCUCCGGCAUGGUCAGUAACCUCUUGGAGUUGGUUUAGCGAUUGCUAAGACGCGACGGCCUCGCACGUUCGUAGUCGGAUCGCCAAAGUCUACUCCACCCAAAAUGAUACUACCAUCGCAUCGAAAGACGGGACACCUUUGCCUCUAUCAUUAUUGCUUUCAAAAAAUUUCUCGUGUCAACAUAGAACAACAGGAGUGUUGUGUUAAUUUUUGUGAUUUUUCGGGGUUCGUUUGGACAAUUUUAUGCAUUAACUGAGUUUUCACUGCAUUUAUGUGCAUAAUUCAAAUUUGAACUACAUGCACAUGCUCUAGUGCAUAUAAAUUGGUUGAAAAAUCAAAUCUGUGUCCUCGGGUGCAUGCUUAGGUCCCAUGCAAGAAAUGGGAAUGAAUUUCAAACACCCUGCCACCGUUGAUUGUCGGCAAAACAUUGAGAUACUUGGUUUUUAACUUCUAGUAAAUCCAAAACUCAUCUAAAAUUCAUGAAACUUGGCAUGGUAUCAUGGAUCAGCAUCAACAUGCCGUGGUAAAAAAUUUGUCCCAUUUGGGGCAGGUUUGGGUAUACGCUUCUCACAAACCAGAGCUUAUCACAACAAGCAUGAUGGUUUUGAUAGGGAACGCCCCACCUUUGGGGACAGAACGAUAUCCAUUGCCUCUUAUUGCUUUCAAGUUUUUUCUCGUGUCAACAGAACAACAGGAGUGUUGUGUCAAUUUUUGUGAUUUUUUAGGGUUCGUUUGGACAUUUUAAGCAUUAACUGAGUUUUCAAUGCAUUUAUGUGCAUAAUUCAAAUUUGAACUACAUGCACAUGCUCCAGUGCAUAUAAAUUGGUUGAAAAAUAAAAUAUGUGUCUUUGGGUGCAUGCUUAGGUCCCAUGCAAGAAAUGGGAAUGAAUUUCAAACACCAGGGCACUGUUGAUUCCCGACAAAACGUUGAUAUACUUUGUUUUUAAAUUCUAGUAAGUCCAAAACUCUUAUGAAAUUCAUGAAACUUGGUCCCAUUUGGGGCAGGUUUGGGUAUAUGCUUCUCACAAACCAGAGCUUAUCACAACAAGCAUGAUGGUUUCGAUAGGGAAUGUCCCACCUUUGGGGACGAAACGAUAUCCAUUGCCUCUUAUUGCUUUCAAAAUUUUUCUCGUGUCAACAUAGAACAACAGGAGUGUUGUGUCAAUUUUUGUGAUUUUUUGGGGUUCGUUUGGACAUUUUUAUGCAUUAACCGAGUCUUUAAUGCAUUUAUGUGCAUAAUUAAAAUUUGAACUACAUGCACAUGCUCUAGUGCAUAUAAAUUGGUUGAAAAAUCAAAUCUGUGUCCUUGGGUGCAUGCUUAGGUCCCAUGCAAGAAAUGGAAAUGAAUUUCAAACACUAGGGCACUGUUGAUUCCCGGGAAAACGUUGAGAUACUUUGUUUUUAAAUUCUAGUAAAUCUAAAACUCGUCUGAAAUUCAUGAAACUUGGCAUGUUAUCAUGGAAUGGCAGCUGACAUGCUGUGGUAUUUUUCAUGUCCAUUUUGAGAGAAGGCGCACUCGUAUAAUGACAACCAACAAAGGCAUUUUGAAAAAAUAGCUGCCACUUUAAUAUCUCAAAUGUUUGUAUAAUUCAAAUCAUGUGCGUUCUGUUAAUCAUUCACGUGACGCCACGUGUCUUGGUUUUUAAUGGAUAUAGGAGGUGCCGUGUGGAUAGCUGCUUGACUGAACGGGAGGCGUGCGAGCGCAGUCCGGUGUGCACGCUCACCGAGAAGCGUACAAGCUGUUCAAAGCAGGAUUUGUGCAUCUCUUCAACGCAAAUGGUUCAGAUUACGGUAUGCAAAUUAAACCCAGACUUCGGCGCUAAGCCAAGAGACACUGCGAUUUGUCAAAAUAUGGAGCUAAAAAUCAAUAGCACCAUCUAUUGUUUGCAACUAAAAUUCAGUAAUUAAGCAUAGAUUUCAUUCAUUCUAGAAAUUAAGCAGUCGUUCUCACCAGGAAGCGAGACAGCCUUGGACCGCCGCCCGCCUCACUCCCACUGGUCUAUAUUAAUGGCGCCGCCGAGCGGCCGCACCCCCCAUCCUCGCCAGACACAGAAUUUCUCUCUCUCCGCCCGCAUCCUCGACGCUGCUUUGAGUCCUCAAAGCUGUCAGUGUACGAGGAUGCCGUCGAAGCACCCCAUCGGAGGGAGUGGUGACACUGGGGCUGCUGAAGCACCGGAGCAUGGCGUGAAUAUGGAGACAAAGGUUUCCAUCACCGCCGAGGUGCAGAACAAGGCUGCCAACAAGCGGAGGCGGGUCGAGAAAGAACCACAAGCGACUCCAUCAGGCCUAGAAUUCAUCAACAACCUCCCCGAUGAUAUGUUGAUAGUCAUCAUAUCCCUCCUCCCAAUCAAAUAUCGGGCAAGGAUAGCCGCCCUUUCCCGGCGGUCGCGCCACCUAUGGCUCCUCACCCCUGUCGACCUCCUCGACGCCCACAAGCUCUGCCAUGGCUAUCGCCAAAGCUUGGAUGCAUUCUCCCAGAUCCUCGGCAGUCACCAUGGUCCAAUCAAAGAUGUUAUCACGGGCAAGUUCUGUUCCAAUGGCAAGGACCGAGCCAAGCUUGAUGAGUGGUUCCGAUCCCCCACCAUAGAUCAGCUCGAGAAGCUCAGUUUUAAUGAUGGGCAUAUGCGCUUGCUGCCAACGUCCGCACUCCGCUUUGCACCCACGCUGCGCCUCGCCAAGUUCAUGAACUGCCACCCCCCCUAAUGAGCGCUCGCUCUUUUUCUACCAUGACCAAAGCACCUCGAGCUCGUCACCGUCCGCAUCCCAAAGGAUGACAUGGAGCGCCUGCUCUGCGACUGUACUACAAUCGAGUUCCUUUGUAUUCAGGCGAUGAAUUGGUCGAGUACCUUGCACAUCACCUCCAGGACUCUCCGGACUAUUUAUGUGUGUUGCUGGUGCUGCAACAAGAGAUCACAAAAGGUGGACCACAAUAUGGUCAUCCAGGACAUACCUUCACUUGAGAGAUUACUUGUAGUUGAUCAACAAGGGCUAACAAGAAUCAAUGUCAUUUCUGUGCCGAAAUUGAAAGUGGUGGGCUACUCGUGUGUCAAAUACUACAACUUUCAGGUACAACAGUCGCCUUAUACCUCUCCUUGAUAUCAACGUUAUUUCUAGUUUUGAAGAUGUAUGUUCGUCUGUCAUCCAGCGAAGCUUCACCCAGACUCUGGGCACAGUGAAGGUCUUGGCACUAGAAUAUGUCGGCCCCAACCUGGACCAAGUUGUCAGUUGCUUGAGAUGCUUUCCGUGCCUGAAGAAGCUGUAUAUCGAGGUGAUGUUCCUUUCCUAUUAAAUGUUAACCAUAAGGGAGUUCAAUUUUUUGCACCUUUUCCCAAGUUUACAAUGACAAUGUACUACGAUUUCUAAAGGAAUUUUGGAGGAUUUUAGGACAUACACCCCACCCCAUAUUGGUUGAUUCAUUCAUAUGGUUACAAUCGUCCAUAAGCAUUUCUCCUUUGGAUUCAUCUGUACUAGUUUUCUUAGGGAUUUUUUUCAUCUAAUCCAACCUCUUGUGAAGAAGGCUACAUGUUUCUAGAUUGUAAUCAAAUGCCCAUGUUAAUCAUGCCAGAUCGAAGAUGGCACGUUGGUGCAUUUUACAAAUCUUGCAAACCAAAUGGGCGUGUAGAAGUUUUCAAAACUGCAUGUAGGCACUUACACAUUCUCUUCUUUUGCAGAUAAUAAUAGGCCCGGAGGUGGAUAAUGUUUAUAACGAUGAUCACAUCGAAUGCCUGGAUCUGCAUCUCUCAAAUAUUACUUUGAACUCCUACCGAGGGACCUUACCAGAGAUUAUGAUACGUCUCCGUCGUAUCUACUUUUCCAAACACUUCUGCCCUUGUUUUGGACUCUAACUUGCAUGAUUUGAAUGGAACUAACCCGGACUGCCGCUGUUUUCAACAGAACUGCCGUGGUGUUAUUUUUGUGCAGAAAUAAAAGUUCUCGGAAUGACUUGCAAAUCUACGGAGCAACUUUUCAGAAUUAAUAAAAAAUACUGGCAAAAGAAUCAGCGUCAGGGGGCCCACACCCUGUCCACGAGGGUGGGGGCGCGCCCCCUCCCCUAGGGCGCGCCCCCCUGCCUCGUGGGCCCCCUGGACGUCCACAGACCUCAACUCCAACUCCAUAUAUUUGCUUUCACAGAGAAAAAAAAUCAGAGAUAAAGAAUUAUCGCGUUUUACGAUACGGAGCAGCCGCCAAGCCCUAAACUCUCUCGGGAGGGCUGAUCUAGAGUCUGUUCGGGGCUCCGGAGAGCGGAAUCCGUCGCCGUCGUCAUCAUCAAUCAUCCUCCAUCACCAAUUUCAUGAUGCUCACCGUCGUGCAUGAGUAAUUCCAUUGUAGGCUUGCUGGACGGUGAUGGGUUGGAUGAUAUUUACCAUGUAAUCAAGUUAGUUUUGUUAGGGUUUGAUCCCUAGUAUCCAUUAUGUUCUGAGAUUGAUGUUGCUAUGACUUUGCUAUGCUUAAUGCUUGUCACUAGGGCCCGAGUGCCAUGAUUUCAGAUAUGAACCUAUUAUGUUUUCAUGAAUAUAUGCGAGUUCUUGAUCCUAUCUUGCAAGUCUAUGGUCACCUAUUAUGUGUUAUGACCCGUUAACCCCGAAGUGACAACAAUCGGGAUACUUACCGGUGAUGACCGUAGUUUGAGGAGUUCAAGUAUUUACUAAGUGCUAAUGCUUUGGUCCGGUACUCUAUUAAAAGGAGGCAUUAAUAUCCCUUAGUUUCCAUUAGGACCCCGCUGCCAUGGGAGGGUAGGACAAAAGAUGUCAUACAAGUUCUUUUCCAUAAGCACGUAUGACUAUAUUCGGAAUACAUGCCUACAUUACAUUGAUGAACGGGAGCUAGUUCUGUGUCACCCUAUGUUAUAACUAUUACAUGAGGAAUCACAUCUGACAUAAUUAUCCAUCACCUAUCCAAUGCCUACGAGCUUUUCGCAUAUUGUGCUUUGCUUAGUUACUUUGCCGUUGCUACUGUUACAACUACAAAACUACUACUGUUACUUUUUCCAUUGUUACCGUUACUUCCAUACUACUUUGCUACUAAAUACUUUGCUGCAGAUACUAAGUUAUCCAAGUGUAGUUGAAUUGACAACUCAACUGCUAAUACUUGAGAAUAUUCUUUGGCUCCCCUUGUGUCGAAUCAAUAAAUUUGGGUUGAAUACUCUACCCUUGAAAACUGUUGCGAUCCCAUAUACUUGCGGGUUAUCAAGACUAUUUUCUGGCACCGUUGCCGGGGAGCACAACUCUAUUCUUUGAGUCACUUGGGAUUUAUAUCUGCUGAUCACUAUGAAGAACUUGAAAGACGAAAGAACUAAGAUUUAUCCCUCAACUACGAGGGGAGGUAAGGAACUGCCAUCUAGCUCUGCACUUGAUUCUCCUUCCGUUAUGAGUAAACUUGCGACACCUAAACCUGCUUUUGCUAUUAAUUCUGAUAUGUUGCAUGUUAUUGAUGAUGCCACUUUUGCUAUGCAUGAUACUUGUGAUGAAACUACUUCUAUGCUUGAUACUACUAUGCCAUUAGGUGAAUUUCUUGAUGAACAACUUGCUAGGGAUAGGGAGAAUGAAAUUAUUGAAACUGAUAAUAUUGAUGAUAGUGAUGAUGAAGAUUCUCCCCCUAAAUAUGAGUUGCAUGUUGUUCCUGAGGGUUAUGUUAUGGAUGAAAAAACUGCUAGAGAUUUUCUUGCUUGCAAUGAUAGAUCAUAUCUUAAGAAGUUAUUAGCUAAGCUAAAACAAAAGUCUUUGAAUGCUAGAAUGAAACACGACCCCACUUUUGCUACUUCACCUAUCUUUGUUAUUGAUAAGGAUUAUGAUUUCUCUGUUGAUCCUGAGAUAAUUACCUUGGUUGAAUCUGAUCCUUUUUAUGGCAAUGAAUCGGAAACUAUAGUGGUGCAUCUUACUAAGUUAAAUGAUAUAGCCACCCUGUUUACUAAUGAUGAGAAAUCUCGCUAUUAUUAUAUCCUUCAAAUAUUUCCUUUCUCAUUAAAGGGUGAUGCUAAGACAUGGUUUAAUUCUCUUGAUCCUGGUUGUGUGCGUAGUCCCCAGGAUAUGAUUUACUACUUCUCUGCUAAAUAUUUCCCCGCUCAUAAGAAACAAGUUGCCUUAAGGGAAAUAUAUAAUUUUGUGCAAAUCAAAGAAGAGAGUCUCCCACAAGCUUGGGGGAGGCUUCUCUGAUUACUUAAUGCUUUGCCUGACCAUUCUCUUAAGAAAAAUGAAAUACUUGAUAUCUUUUAUAAUGGACUAACCGAUGCUUCCAAGGACCAUCUCUAACUCCUCCACUAGGGAGCUACAUUGACUUAGGUCUCCCUCUAGCUCAGAAUCACUAUUAGGACCAUAUUCUGAGCAUGAAUCUGUAGGUGGAAAGCGUUUGCAUUGCAUUGCAUCCAGACUUGAUUUCAGUCCCUUAAUGCCAAGUUUGACAACCAUGUCAUUGUUCUACUUUAUUCUUUUCAUGCGCGCAAGCUCAUAAUUAUUAUGAUGCUAUUCAGAAUCUGAGAUUCAUGAAAACAUAAAAAGUAGUCAGAUUAUCCAUGGAAUGCAUUGCGGAUUCAACUCGAAGAGUGUCUCCCUAUAAACCCCUGCAUAUGCAAAGUUCACCCCCAACCAUGCUGACCAGACCACACACAGAAAUACAAACCCCUUAUGUCUCUAUAACAGGCAGGCACACAUUUCAAAACUGAAGUAGGAACAUUAGAAUCAUAUGAAAUUCGUAUUUGAACAAAUAAACUAAGCAAUUAUGAGUGGCGUAAUGUUUAGCUUCAAGGGUGGAGUGUUGGUAGUGCGACACAAAGCAAGUAGGCAGAUUGUAUUCCAUGUAAAAGAUCGAAACCUAUAUAAAAGAUGGAAAUGACACUGUCUUUCUAUACAAUGCAGUGUUCGUUACCCACACAUGAUGGAAGAGAUCACAUAGAGAAAUACUAUUCACUCAUGUCUAUGGUUCCAGUAUUUAGAAACAGGGUGGUCCACCCUAAAAGAAUAUUGACAACAAAUAUGACAAGGCAAGCAUAGAUGUCGUGAAUAAAUCAUUUACUUGUGAGCUUAUUAGGACAAGUAUGCAGAAUUGUAACUGCAGUAAGAGACCGUCCAAAAUCUGAAUGAAGAAGUUUGUCUAGCACUUAUUGUUUGCAACUAAUCGACGUGAAUAAUUGGAUAUUAUAUUGAAUGAGUAAGAAAGACAAGUAAAAUUGUCAACAAACCUGGCUUGCGGUAGUAAUCUGGGUCAAUGUCACUACAACCAACAAUCCAAAAUGACUAGUUUCUGUUCCGAGGGCCGGAAUUUUGAAAACCCUGUGAACUUUAGAGGUACUAAAGAUUACCGAAAUACAUCUGAACCAUUAAGUGUAGUAGCACUGAGCACACAACAAACCCUAAUGACAAUCCUGCCUAAUGAGUAAUGAAUCAAUUAGAAAAUGGGUGAUGAGGAGUGGCUGCUGAGUGUUGAGGACAUAUCUCAGGAUAAAUCGGGAUGGCUUGGUGGGUGCUGCACGCCUAAGCCCUGAACGGACAGGGAAGGUAGGCACGGCGGCGCGCCCGGGCAGCGGUGACGCUGUUGGGCGAGCGGCUCCUGGCCUCCUGUUAGUCCGACGUCUCCUCCUAGAGUCAUGCCGUCCAGGGACGGCAAGUCACCGGUGAGGCAGGCGGCUGGGGGCGAGUAGAGAUCGGAAGUGCACAACAGAACAGAGGGGAAUCGGGGCCUGGGAUGACCCAAAAUCCCAGGGUGGGCCGGCCCACCGUGGGCACCCUGUAGAGAUACACACCCAAGCGGCGAACAUGCAUUUUUGAAACUAAUUUAGGAACAUUUAGCUGACUAAUUAAACAACUCUGUUUUAAUAAUAUCAGUUUCGUAUUUGAACAUCUAAGCUUGUUUAGCUUGAAGGGUGGAGCAGUGUUAUUAUGACACGAAACAUGUAUUCUGAUCGUAUAGUGAUCAUAAAAGGGGGAAACUCUAAGCAUAUUUUUUUAGCAAAAAGGGUUUCCCCUCCGAUUUCUAUUAAAGAAACCACCACGGAACCAACAUGAUCAAUUAAACCCUAAGCAUGAUCAAUUAAACCGUAUUAUGGCUGUGCCAUGGCAGAUUUGAAGCUGCAAACCGGAGAAAUGAUAUUUAGCAUCCAUUGUUUGCUUCGAACUAAGAACUAAAUUCUAAGAGCUGGAAAGAAAGUAGAGUAACCAAGUUAAGAUCUAUUUUCUGGUUGAUAUCAAAAAGUUGAGGAGAUAUGAAGUACCACCUCUCUUGCGGCACCGUGUAGGCAUCGGGGGUGCGAUGCCUGUCGGUGGCGUUGAAGCAGAUCUGCGAUGGUAGACGAGUGCAUCGGGGGAUAAGUCCUGUUGCGGUGGAAGAGAAGGUCGUGUGAGCGGCUGUAACGCCCCGGAUCCGAUGCGCCAGGUGUCCGCCAGUUAUUCGCCGUCGUUGCCAUGUCAUUUGCUUGCGUGUUGCAUUUUAUCAUGUCAUCAUGUGCAUUUCAUUUUUGCGUUCGUGUUCGUCUCAUGCAUCCGAGCAUUUUCCCCGUUGUCCGUUUUGCAAUCCGGCGCUCCUAUGUCCUCCGGCGUUCCCCUUUUCGUCUCCUAUUGUGAGUGGGUGUUAAACCUUCUCGGAAUGGACCGAGGUUUGCCAAGCAGCCUUGGUAUAGCACCGGUAGACCGCCUGUCAAGUUUCGUGCCAUUUGGAGGUCGUUUGGUACUCCAACGGUUAACCGGGUAACCGCAGAGCCCUCUUUUGUUUGCAGACCAACACCCCUUCCAAAUUGUCCCAAAACCCACCUAACUCCCCUCCAUGCUCUCGGUCGUUCGAUCACGAUCGUGUGGGCGAAAACCGCACCUUAUUUGGACUCUCCUAGCUCCCUCUACCUACAAAUAUGUCUUCCUCCCCGAAUUCCCGCAGUCCAAACCCUAAAAAUCAUCCCCGUCGCCCGCCGGACAUGUCCGCCCCGAGCCGGACGAAGUCUCCACCGCCGCCCAGCCAACCGCGCAGUGCCACGUGGCCCUGGCCACCGCGCGCCGCCCGCGGCCCGCCAGGCCCGCCGCCNNNNNNNNNNNNNNNNNNNNNNNNNNNNNNNNNNNNNNNNNNNNNNNNNNNNNNNNNNNNNNNNNNNNNNNNNNNNNNNNNNNNNNNNNNNNNNNNNNNNNNNNNNNNNNNNNNNNNNNNNNNNNNNNNNNNNNNNNNNNNNNNNNNNNNNNNNNNNNNNNNNNNNNNNNNNNNNNNNNNNNNNNNNNNNNNNNNNNNNNNNNNNNNNNNNNNNNNNNNNNNNNNNNNNNNNNNNNNNNNNNNNNNNNNNNNNNNNNNNNNNNNNNNNNNNNNNNNNNNNNNNNNNNNNNNNNNNNNNNNNNNNNNNNNNNNNNNNNNNNNNNNNNNNNNNNNNNNNNNNNNNNNNNNNNNNNNNNNNNNNNNNNNNNNNNNNNNNNNNCCCCGCCGUCGCCGCGCCGACCUCCGGCCGGCCUCGCCCCGCCGGACUUCCCCGAGCGCCUCCCCGAGCAUCUUCAGCAUCUCCGGCGAGGCUCCGGCGCCGCCUCGAUACGCGCGCCGAGCCGGAUCCAGAUCUGAGAAGGUUGACUUCUCCCCCCCCCAAAUUUGCCCAAGUCCCAGAUCUGUGUUAUUAUCAUGCCAUGUUCAUGCCAUCGUAUCUCUGCAUCCGUAGCUCCGUUUCGUGCGUGUAAUAUGUCAAAUUGUUCACCUCGACGAGUACAUCAUUUCAUUCCAUUGCAUCAUUUUCAUUUGAGCUCAUCUUGAUGCCCGAAAUGCUGUUGGAAGAGUGCUAUGUGAUGUUAAUCUGCUGAAACUGUUAUAACUUGAUGAUUUGUCAUUUUUGCCAUGAUGGAUGUGUGCAUCCUAUGAGGUUGAUGUCUACAUGUGUUUUGAUCUAUGACAUGCCAUCUUUCCAGAGGUGCUAUCCAUGUAUUUUUGUGAUUUGUGUGCUGAGUGCAUCGAGCUUGCUAACUAGGGUACUUGCUGUUGCUGAUUUCAGUCACUGUUCUGCUGUUAUUUUUAUGCCUUGUAAACUUGAUGCUACAGAGAGAUCCAUGCAUAUUUUGAGAUACUUCAGUAAGGGUGUUUUGAACAUAUGGUUAUUGUCUAUCCAUUCAUGCCCUUUGUUGCAAUUAUGGAAUAGUCUAGCAUGUCAUUUGAGUGCUCUACUUUUACUUCAAAAUGUUUCCUGGCAGAUUGUUUACUUGUUAUUCAAUUUAGCCAAGGUUGUUAUAGUUGAUCCUUGCAUGCUAUGAACUUGUUCUUGCCUUGGGUGGUUAUACAAACAUGUAUUCUUGAAUGCUAUGCUUAUCUUGUAACGCAAUGACUUGUGGUGAGUGAAUCGAGCUUGUUUAGUAGUGUACUUGCUGUUACUGUUUUGCUAGGCUGAAUCUGUUAUUUCGUGAUGCUAUAUAAACAUGUUGCUACUAGUCAUCCUGUGCAUAAUCUGGAGAUGUUCACUAAGAGUGUUUUGUUAUACAUGUCAUGCUAUAUCCAUCCAUGCCCCUGGUUGCAUUUAUAGCUUGCUGUAGCUUAUUGUUUUCAUGCUCCAAAGUUGCUAAAUAAUGUUGCUGUCGGCCUGUUGACAUUAAGUUCAGAUGUUCCCAUGAUUGUUGCUAGUGAUCCAUGCACCCUAUGACCUUGCUCUUUCCAUGCUUAGAUUCAUAAACAUGUCUUCUUACUGUUGGUUGCCUUGUCAUGCCAUGUAUUGCUCUGUAGUGAGUGGUAUAAGCUCACCAACAUGCCUACUUAUUGUUGCUCCUCCCAUGUUUGAAUCGGUAAUAUAACUUGCCAUGUUUACAUGGGUGCCAUCAUAUCUUCUGACCCUUUUUGGCUUAUGGUCAGUAAGGGACUUUUGUUCUAUGCAAUUAGUAGAUUCAUGCCAUGCCUUUGUUUGCCAUGUUAAGUUCCUGUAACAUAUUUUUUGAUAGCUCUGAACAUUGCAACCUGAUGUUAUUUCCUGAUAAGUCUGUAACUGUUAUUAUUUGCAAUCUUCCCAUGUCUGUUUGAGCAUGUUCUAGUGAUUUCUGGAGAUAGCUCAGUGUUCAUGUUUUGUUAUGCUUUACCUGUACAUCAUGCCCAUGCCUUUUGUUAUUAUGUUGAGAUCCUGUAGCAUGUUGUUUUGAUGCUUGGAAUAUGCCUACUUGCUGUUAUGGACAUAUUGUUGUUAUGACUUGUAUAGUGCGUAUGUGUUGCACCGUUGCUCCGUUUUGAGUGUGCUUUAUAUGAAACUUGCUUGAUUUUGCAUGUAGUUUCAUGUUAUCAUGUUGCAUCCUUGUUUUGAGGUGUUUGCUUGAUGUUUGUAUGCAUUUUGCAUCAAUGCCAUGUUUAACUUGUUUUGCUCAUAUCUUCUAGGCCGUAGCUCCAAAUCUAAAGAACUUUAUAUGUAAAUGGGGUGGAAAAAUGCCUAGUUUAACAUGGUCCACUUUAUUUUCCUGUUUAACAACAAUAAAAUAUGGUUUGGGGCAGAACAGUACCAAAUUCAUAAAUAUGGACAUGAGGAUUUUCCGGAAUUGUUAUAUGUUGUUCCCGGCCUCAUUUAAACUUGCCUUGAUGUGUUGCUCUUGUUUGCAUCAUCUCUUGCCAUGAGUAGCUUCAUGUAGCUUUGUCAUGCAUCAUGCCUGUUGUGCAUCAUGUCAUGUUCAUGUGUGGUGUGUUUACCAUGUUGUGUGCUUCUUCUCCAUAGUUCCCGUUUCAUUGCGAUCGUGAGGAUUCGUUCAUCUAUGCUUGGUUCGUCUUCGUGGCUUCAUCUUCUUCAUGGACUCGUUCUUCUUCCUUGCGGGAUUUCAGGCAAGAUGACCGUCACCCUGGAUCUCACUACUAUCAUUGCUAUGCUAGUUGCUUCGUUCUAUUGCUAUGCUGCGCUACCUAUCACUUGUUCAUCAAGCCAUCCCAUAUUGCCAUGAACCUCUAACCUUUGACACCUUUCCUAUGCAAACCACUGUUUGGCUAUGUUACCGCUUUUGCUCAGCCCCUCUUAUACCGUUGCUAGUUGCAGGUGAAGUUGAAGAUUUCUCCAUGGUGGACAGGAUUUUGGUUGGGAUAUCACAAUAUCUCUUAUAUUAUUAAUGCAUCUAUAUACUUGGUAAAGGGUGGAAGACUCGGCCUUUUGCCUGGUGUUUUGUUCCACUCUUGCCGCCCUAGUUUCCGUCAUACCGGUGUUAUGUUCCCGGAUUUUGCGUUCCUUACGCGGUCGGGUGAUUUAUGGGACCCCCUUGACAGUUCGCUUUGAAUAAAACUCCUCCAGCAAGGCCCAACCUUGGCUUUACCAUUCGCCUCACCACCACCUAUCCCUUUCCAUUGGGUCGGCCAACCCGAGGGUCAUAUUUAUUUUAGCCCCCCGGGCCAGUGCUUGUCUAAGUGUUGGUCCGAAUCGGGCAGACUGCGGGGCCACCUCGGGGCAACCCGAGGGUUGGUUUUACUCGUAGGCUGACCUAUCCGGUGUUGCCCUGAGAACGAGAUAUGUGCAGAUCCUAUUGGGAUUGUCGGCGCAUCGGGCGGCUUUGCUAGUUUUGUUUUACCAUUGUCGAAAUGUCUUGUAAACCGGGAUUCCGAGUCUGAUCGGGUCUUCCUGGGAGAAGGUCUAUUCCUUCGUUGAUCACGAGAGCUUAUCAUGGGCUAAGUUGGGACACCCCUGCAGGGUAUAAUCUUUCGAAAGCCGUGCCUGCGGUUAUUGGCAGAUGGGAAUUUGUUAAUGUCCGGUUGUAGAUAACUUGACACCAGAUCCGGUUUAAAACGCAUCAACCGUUUGUGUAGCCGUGAUGGUCUCUUCUCGGCGGAGUCCGGGAAGUGAACACGGUUUUUGUGUUAUGUUUGACGUAAGUAGGAGUUCAGGAUCACUUCUUGAUCAUUACUAGUUGACGACUGUUCUGCUUGUUCUCUUCUCGCUCUUAUUUGCGUAUGUUAGCCACCAUAUAUGCUUAGUCGCUGCUGCAGCCUCACCACUUUACCCCUUCCUUUCCCUUUAAGCUUUGCUAGUCUUGAUACCCAUGGUAAUGGGAUUGCUGAGUCCUCGUGGCUCACAGAUUACUACAACAACAGUUGCAGGUACAGGUUUAUCCGAUGAUCAUGAUGCGAGAGCGAUGCUUGCUUGCGUUAAGUUCUUCUUCUGCUUCUUCGAUCAGGGGAUAGGUUCCAGGUCGGCAUCCUGGGCUAGCAGGGUGGAUAUUGUUUGAGUUUCUGUUUAUGAUUCAUCCGUAGUCGGAUGUUGUUCUUGUAUGUUGUAUUGUUGUAUUCAUGUGACAUUGUAUGUAUUGGAUGUAUCCCCACUUUUAUGUAAUGUUGAUGUAAUGAUAUCCGCCUUGCAAAAGCGUCUUCAAGAUGCGCUUCUAUCCUUGGUGGGACCUUCGAGUUCCUUUAGGAUAGGGUCGCAUCUUGGGCGUGACAGCGGCCCCGGCAAAGAGGACGACGGCGCUGAUGAAGCGAGAGGACGCGAUGCAAGGCUAUUGGUCCGUCGCCGUGGAUGAGAAACGUCCAUCUCUAGCAGUGGACGACGUGGUCUUGGUAGGCGCUCCGGCAUGGUGGAGGACGGUGGCGAUGGAUGUGGUGGAGGACGGCGGCGAUGGAUGGGGUGGCGGACGGAGGCUGGUGUGGGGAUGGGGUGUUCUAGCGCGGACGGUGUAUGAAUGGGAAAAUGGAGGGAGAGGUACAGGGAACCACGUUUUUGGGAUGCGCCUGUCUGAAAUAUGGGAAAUUUAUGAACUUAGCCCCCGUUUAAAAUUUGGACGUCUCGUCGGUUGGGGAUAGGACGGUAAUCUCGCAUCUCGCCAAUAUUUGCCCAGAGCGAUUUCGGGCGAGGAGAGGGUGGUUGGCGCCCAUGGUUGGCGCCCACGGUGUAUGAACGGGGCUGACAGGUAGGGCGGUUGUGUCACGUUUGAGUGAAGUUACAAACCUGCCCCUAUUGAAAAUAUUUGCCUACAUCGAUUUCGGCCGAGUCGAGUUUGUUUUGCCGCCCACCGUGUAUGAAUGGGGAAUGGAGGGAGAAACAGAGGUAUUUCGGACGAGCUUGAAUAAAAUGUGUUUUGCCGCCCAUGUUUGAUGCCCACCGUGUCGGAAUGGGCUCAGAGGCGGUCGUGUCACGUCUAAUUGAAGUUACUAACCUACCCCUAUUUAGAGCAGUGGAAAUCGGGCUGAUGGAUUGUCCGUGUAAUGGGUAGACAAUAAUUUCCAUCUCCCAAACACUUGGCUUCGGGCAGCCGACGUGGGAGUGGACAUUUUGCUACUUCUUUCGAAUUUUGGGACAAUAAGCAUCCACGUUUACCCUGGCAACUAAAUUCGAAUCCACUUUGUAUUCCUAUAUGAAUCUUUAUAAAUCAUUCUAUGUGUUUUUAUAUAUCUUCAAAAGGACGACAAAGAUGUAUUCCACUGUCAUAUAUGAAUAUGAUUUACAAAUGCCGAUACUCAAAUUCAGAAACUAGAAUCCAGUUUAAGGUGAAUUCGAAUAUUUGGAACACUUCAUGUCCAACUCAAAUGUCACACACAGCAUAAUGUGUACUCCCAUUUAGAUAUGUACAUAAGCAAUGCAUCAAGAUUCAAAUACCGAGUCAAUCAACAAAGAAUGUACAGAACUAACAGACAUAUAAACACUUAUAGAGUAUAUGGAUCAAUAAUAUCAACUAACAUACAUAAGCCAGGCCGCUGUACUUUUUUUUGGCUACAACAACAUCCUUUUUUUAGCCAGCAUCUUGGCCCUUUCCGAUGCGUGCCACUUAUGGUCCAUCUAUACUACUACUAUUGCUGAAUGCACAUUCAGCCUGAUUGGCAUAUUUGUAGGUCUGGCACAGCAAUCCAAAUGAAAUGUCUCCGAGUCUUAUCAAUUAAUACAGACUUGUGCCCAAAUAAAAUUACAAACCAAAAAACAAAAAAAAAACAAUUAUUACAUGAUCUCUAAAACAAAUGGUUUGAUUGAUUACAUG